rnacentral:lncRNA from 1 species
AUUUUGUUAUACAUCAUGUCGUUUUAUUUGCAAAUACCUUCUUAUGUGGCAUUCUUCUUGCAGGGAUUUUCGAUCAAAAAGCUUCGAGCUCACUUGUGUUCCUUUGGUGUAAUUGGACAUCUUGCACUUCAACCAAUGUAUACCUUUAUGAUACAUUGCCUCCCUCUCCGCUACCAUUGCAUAUGUAAAUUAUUUUUGAAGCAAUUGUUUUAUGACAUUGUGAAGCCCUAAUAGAGGUUAGUCAAUUUGCAAGUAGUUCACUGUGUACUACUCUGAGGCUUUUUGGAUGUUAUUGCAUAUGUAACAUGGUGCUUUGACCAUAUAAAUAGGUGCGCAGAAAGGCAAAGUUGCAUUUGCCAAGAUAACUUUGAAAAAGCCUCACAUAGUUUUGCUUGAUGAGCCAUCCAAUCAUCUGGUAAGUCUGCUCUUUUUGUCCACCUUAUGACUCCAAAUACUUUUCAUUUAGCUUGUUGUUGUUCUUGCACUAAUUGAACUUAUCGGAAUCUGAUGUUACAUUGAAAAUACAAGAGAAUCAAUUAGUGAUAACAACUAUAGAGAGCCUCUGUUCUGUCAUCAUAUAUCUAACUUAUAAUGGAACAUAAACCAAUCUAAUAAUUUCAACUUGGAAAAUAUUUGGAAUAGAAUAGUUAGCCUGAUCAGUUUUUUCAUAUUGGAGUAAUCUGUAAUACCAAAGAGUUGUGAUAUCUGUGCCUGUAGGUAGUAGUGGGCUCUAUUUAUAAAUGUGGUCUUUAAGCUCUGCUUUAAUGAGUAGUGACUACUGAAGAAUUAUCUUUGUAAAUUGUUAGUUUCUUGUCCAAGGAUGAGUGAGUGCAACUCUGCUGUUUUGCCUAUCCACAACUGGAGGAUUUGGAUGUGGCUGAGGUGCUCAUUCAAGGUCUGGUCUUGUUCUAUGGAGCAAUUGAGAUGGUGAGAUUGAUUUUGUUGUCAAAAUGCUUCAAUUUGACCAACCAUGGAUCAUUUUCACAGCUAAUAGCCCUCCUUUCACCUUGAUUUGCAGCUUAGUCACAAUAAGCAUCUAAUAGCUGGAACGUCAAAUGAGGUCUGGGUGAUUCCAUAAGGCAAGGUGGCGCCUAUCCAUGGGAAUUUUCAGGACUAUAGGAAGGUACUCCAGUUUUUGUUAUAUCAGGUGAAUCUAGUUAUUACCAUCAACUGAGAGUGGUUCAUUGGGUUCCCAUAUCCUUACAAAACUGAAAAUGAGGCUUAGCUACAUAGAAAAAGCCAAAAAAAGAUGAAGAGAGGAUUGCUGCUGAUGUACAGGAUAGACUCACUAUUACCCUGGCCCUCGUUUGUCAUACAUACUUGAUAAGGACUCGUGGAAGGAAGAAUCAAAGUUUUGACAUUGAGUGUGUAGUAUCAUUUGCAAUAGCUUAAGAACUGAGUUGGGAUUGUACUCCCGGUAUAAUUUAUGCUUUCUUGCACAUUUUGUUCUAGCAAUAGGUUCAUUUGUUGUGCCCGUAGAAGUUUGAUACUCUGUCGCCGUGGAAGUCAGCUUUCCCAUACAUAGUAAAAUGAUUUAAUCAUUUGCGAAAGAAUCGUUUUAGCAUAGUAAAUUAUUUUGUAGGACAAUCUAUUUUUAUAUGAAUAUAUUUUCCCUAUUUUCAUUCUUUGCAUUGUUCAGGAGAAUUAAUUAUGAAAAUAUUAUCACGGUCAACAAAACUUUAUAUUCAACUCUAAGUACAGAAUUGCGUUGACUAAUUAUAAGGUAGGCCUUGUGUCGCCAAAAAAUACUAUAAUGAAAUUCCAUAUAAAUACCUGGAUUUGUUAGAUAAAAUCCUUUUACCAUGUUCAGGUCAACAUUGAAAAUGAGAAGCUUUCUUUCUCCCAACUGCUACGGUGCAGAUGGACAAACGGAACUGAUAGCAGAGGUUUGAGUAAGCGAAUGUGACAGCUAAAUGCUGAAUUUCAUUUUUCUUUUAUUCAAAUACCCACUCCACUCCCAUCUCUUGACAACAUUUUUAGCGGUCCUACAUAUUAUAUUUCCUGUGCAGGACGGGGAAUGGGAAGAAGGAUUAAUAGCCGUGGCUACCCUCUGGAUGUUUCUUUGAGGACUUACGUCUGCUAUGAGAUAUUCUGAUUCCGAGAAGAUCGUCACUUAGCGCCACUGAUGAUUAACUCCUUGAAGGGGGCAAGCCCCACCACAUUUACCCCCAUCGAGGUGCUGAAGAUCCAGGACCAUUCACACGUGACAAGAUACACGCACUACCAUUGCAAAUGGUUUCAAUCUCGUGAGCUCACAUGUUGAAGAUAUACCUUGAAUUCAGGCAAAUGAAGGGAAUUUGAUCCAAAAAGGAAACGUGCUACUAUGGCUUCCAUGUUAUAUACAAUUUUGAGGAAUACUGUUACAUGAGUUCUAUUAAUGGACACUUCUGUUACAUUAUAAAGUUAUUGCCUGCUAUAUGAGGUUUUUGCCAUAACAAUCAUUCCCAUGUUGAGGAGCGAAACUGUUUUCUACUUCUUCAUCGUCAGACCCUGCUUGAGACACUGUCUCACGAACUACUUUUAGCAGAGACUUUUGAUCUGGAGCUGCUGCGAAUUGAGCUUGAUGUUGACCUUGGUUGAGGAAAAAUUGAGUUUGUUCUGAUGGUCGUGAUUUUGACCGGCAGGAUUUGCAGCCAAACAUGACGGCUUCUUCAUUUGCAAAUUGAGGGGCAAAUUUUGCCCACCAUUUAAUUUUUUAAUUCUCUUUCGAGAAUAGAAUAUAUCACGGUCUACUAUACAAGAUCUAACAUGCGAACAAUCGUCUUCAUAUCUGAAAAAUAUUUAACAUGUGAAGAUGAAGAGGUUCUUGAAGCGGCUUAAUUAUUGCAGAAAAUCUUUUCUCCAUGAAGGGGGCUUGAUUCUACUCUCUAAGGGACUCGACAUUUUUGUGUUAUUGUUUUAUUAGGAUUCUUGACGAUAUUGAUUUUGAGUAACUUCCACAGAGUCUAUAUCAACGGGGAUGAAUACAUAAAAAGUUUUGGUUUUAGGAUGAUGAUUUGCAAUAUAAUGAAAAUCCGGAGGGAUGUGGCCCUGCAUUAUUUUAUGAUUGAGAUUUGAUAAAACCUUCUAGUUGUUUUGAGAGAAAUUUGUUAAUAAAAAAAUGUUAUUUUCAUUUUUCACUAUUUAGCGUGGUAAAGAGCUGGUCAAAGGAAAUUAAUUUAGAAAAAAAUUAAGUGGAAGUACAAUAAUAGAACGGAUGAAUAUCUACAAGGGAAAAGAGCGUGCGACGAUGCUAUUCUAUCGCGGUCCUUCCUAGUGAUGUGGAGAUGGACCGCAUAUGACAAGCUAAUUACGGUCUGCAAAACAUGAAAAAUAGUAAGAUAUGGGGAAAGGAUAUGCAAAAAUAUCCUUCGUCGGCCUAAUUCACAAACGAAACUCAACUUCGAUCUCCUCAGGAACAAGUCAGGCGUGUCCCACCGACGAAUUCUAGUAAUUUUAUAGCAAAAAAGUUACUUUUCGUCACCACCCAAUAGUUACGGAUUUUAUUUCGUCGCUAAAGGACCAACCUCUUGCAACGAGAAUUUGGUCGGUUUUUUUGUAGAUUUGGUGAUGCAAAAUUUCAUGGUUAAUCAUACCCGUGGCCGAAGCGUCCAAUUUAGUAUUGAUUAAAUCAUCUCUACCAAUGCAAUUUUUUUUUUUUUUUUGGUAAAGGUAAAUAAUAAUAAAGCUUUGGACAAAAUACAAAAGACAGCGCCAAAGGCUUACACUCUAAGGAAGACCAAAGAGUGGAAGGGUGCCGUGAGAAAAGCCAAAGGCAAGCGGACCAAAAGGAGAAGAUCCACAGUUACAACACAAAAACCAGUACAACCACCAGACCUCCACCAAACAUUCGAAGAAUGAAGAAACGGAGUGAUGUUGAAGUUGUAGCGGAACGAGAGAAGAAGCGGGGAGACUAACGCCUGAGACGAUCCGUAAAGAUGGAGGGAUCAAGAUCCCAGCUUCUUUGGAGACGCCUAUUUCUCGGAGUAUCCGGAACACUUGUGAAUGUAGUCGCUUUAUCUUUGAUUAUCUUCAUAAGGUGGUUCUUCAAAGCAAGGACAACCAGUGCUUCCCCUCGGAAAAUAAUAUCAUUCAUUUUCUUCCAAAUCAAAUAACAAAGGCCACCGAAAGAAAAUCGCGCAAUCCGAUGGUAGAAAUCCUUACCGGAGAGCAACCUGAUCGCCCAAGCAAGGUUGUCCAUCCAUGGCCUCGAUUUCCAAGGUAAAUUGCAUCUCGUCGCCCAAAAAUAAGCAAGUGAGGCCGAGAUACGACAGUUGAAGAACAAGUGAUCAAUAGAGUCCGGAGUAGCAUUACAGUAUGCACAAGUACCCGAGACGAUUCUACUAGAAUGGAUUAGGAAUUCUUGGGUGGGUAAUCUGUUCUUGGUAAUCAACCACAAGUUAAAUUGAUUUCUAGGGACAAUAUCAGAGUUCCAAAUAAAGAAGUCCCAAGAAACUUUUUCCUUCUUUGUUCUAAUGAAAUCCCAUGCAGAGGCAACAGAAAAGGAUCCGGAUGAGUGCUGAUUCCAAGUGAAACAAUCCGGUGCAUUAGUCUGAUCCGGGACAGAGAAACCACAGCUCUGAAGUGAACUCUUAAAUGCAUGACCGAGGGGGGAGAAUAAAUCUGCAACAACAGCAUGCUUAAAGAGACCCGACAAUUCAAUGAUGGAUGUCGGAAAUAAAAGAUCAAGGGGGCCAUCAGCGAGCCAUUGAUCAUGCCAUAAAGAAACCGAAAAUCCAUUACCAAUCUUCCAAGCGAAGCAAGACCUAAACUCUGUUCUUAAUUGCAAUAUUUUUUUCCAGGCCCAAGAACACGUAGAAGGUUUUGAGGCGAUCCAGAAAUUGUCCUUUUUUAAGAAAUUAGAAUGGAUCCAUCGACACCACAACGAUUCUUUAUCGGUGAAAAGGAUCCAUAUGUACUUAAGCAUGGCCGCUCUAUUGCAGUCUUUCAAAUUCCUUAUACCGAGCCCACCUUCAUUUUUUGGGAGACAUAUGUCAUCCCACGCAACCUUAGCCCCACCUUUACCAAGUGUGGAUCCUUUCCAUAAGAAUUGUCUCAAAAUUGUUUCAAUACUAACCAGAACCGACGCCGGUAAGGUAAACACACUCGACCAAUAUGAUUGAAUAGAAUGGAGGAUUGACCUGAUGAGCUGCAAUCUUCCAGCAUAUGAUAGAAAUCUUUGAGUCCAAGAUUGAGCCCUAACAGUGAUCCGAUCAAUUAGAGCAAUACAGUGAACUUUUCGAAGUCUAGAAGAGAUGAUGGGAACCCCGAGGUAUCGCACAGGCAAGGUACCUUCUUGGAAUCCAAAGGCCAUUUGAAUAUAAUUGCGAAGAGACAGAGGUCCUCCAGACAUAAAGAUUUUGCUCUUGUUUCUAUUCGGGAUCAAGCCACUCCAUGAAGAGAAUAUAUCAAGGCCCUUUUUCAUUAAGGUGAUAGACGCCCAGUCAGCUCGACAGAAAAGGAAAACGUCAUCCGCGAAAAAAAGAUGAGUCAGCCGAGUUGCCUUGCACCUCCAAUAGGGAUUGAAUUCCUUAAGAGAAGUCUGGGAGACUAGAAUUCCAGAGAAUACCUCCAUCACAAGUGUGAACAGAUAAGGGGACAUAGGAUCUCCUUGUCGUAGUCCUCUCCCACCGGCAAAGAAUCCAUGAAGCUCUCCAUUGAUUGAAAUGGAAUAUUUGGGAGUCCGAACACAAGCCAUAAUCAAUCGAACAAAAACAUCAGGGAAGCCAAAUGCCGUGAGUGUCGAUUGAAGAAAAUCCCAGUCGAUAGUAUCAUAAGCCUUCUGGAAAUCAACUUUUAUCGCACAUUUGGGGAGGUAAGGUUCCAAAUGAAACCCAGCAAAUAAUUCUUGAGCCAAAAGAAUGUUAUCUCUAAUCCUCCUCCCUUUGACAAAGGCGUUUUGAGAGUAGUCAACUAAGUUCCCAAGGACAACAGCUAGGCGAUUGGCUAAUAUCUUUGUAAUGAUUUUAUAAAUGAUGUUGCAACAUGCAAUAGGGCAAAAAUCUGAGACAUCGCAAGCAUUAGGGACCUUUGGAACUAAAGUGAGGAUGGUAUUAUUCACCUCUCUAAGCAGACAGCCUGAUGUAAAGAAUUCCUGAACUGCCUCUGUUACGAGCGGGCCAACAGUAUCCCAGCAUCUCUUGAAGAAUUCGGCAGUGAAUCCAUCAGGACCUGGAGCUUUCCCCUUCGCUAGAGAGAAGACUGUUUCUCGAACUUCAGGGACUAGCACUGGUCUGGUUAGGUCACCGGCUUGGUCCACCGACAGGGGAUUGCGAAUGAACUUUCUUAACUCCUGCAGGGAAGGCUUGGAUACUCCAGGGUGAGAAGAAAGCAGAUCAGCAAAAAACGUUACAAAUACUUGGGGAACCACCUCAGGGUCAUCGAUAAAAGCACCCGAGGAGUCCUUCACCGUAAGGAUUCUGUUUGUAAGUUGUCUUUUCUUGACAGAAUGAUGAAAAAACUUUGUAUUUUGGUCCCCUUCCUUGAGCCAUCGGAUUCUCGAUUUUUGCCUAUAGAAGGAUUCUUCAUCUCUUCUCAAGUUAACAAAGAGCUUACGGCAAAUCUGCUCUGUAUUGGCGAGGUCAGAAUCAUUAGGGUUGAGAUGAAGAUCAAGCUGAGCAGAGCGAAGAGCUUCCCUUGCUUCCUCUGUUCUUGCUGAAAUGUUUGAAUAUGUAUCUCUAUUUAAAAGUUUAAGCCGGCUCUUUAGAGUUUUGAGUUUAGAAACAAGCCUAAACAUAGCAAAUCCUCGAACUGGAAUAUCCCAUACCUGCUGCACAAUAAGGAAGAAGUCAGGGUGCUGUGCCCAGAAAUCAAAAUACUUGAAAGGCCUUCUCCUAUGAAUCGGGUCAAUGACUCUGACUACCAUUGGGGAGUGGUCGGAGAUACCCGGGUUUAGGAAAGAGGCCUCGGAAAAAGAGAAUUCCAUAUUCCAAGAGGUAUUAACCAAAACACGAUCUAUUUUCCGCAUUUUCCUACUUGCACCCGCAGAGGUGGACCAGGUAAACCUAAGGCCAAUGUACCUGAGGUCGUCCAACUCAGUUUGAGCUAGGCAGUUUGCAAACUCAUCAAAGUAUGGAAUCCAAGUAUCAGAACUACCAAAACGGUCAGAUGGAUCCUUGAUAGCGUUGAAAUCUCCUGCAACCAACCAGGGCGUGUCUUGCAUGAGGGCAUUUAUCCGAAUAAGAUCUUCCCAGAGUGGGCGACGGCGAAUAAACGAGUGUUCACCAUAUAUAAUAGAAACACAGCACGUCUUUGUAGACGAGAUAAUCCUCACACGGCCAUGCACAGCUUGAGCACUAACCGAGAUGGGAUCAUAAUUUAUAUAGUGUGGGUUCCAACCAACCCAUAUUCUUCCACGAGGGGAAUGUUCAUAAUUCGUGAUCCAUUUCCAGCCAUUCAGCAAAAAGGAGGAUAGGGAAUCAGAAGUAUCCUCAGGGACUUUGGUCUCAAUGAGCCCAAUCAAGCACAGAUUAUGAGAAGUGACAAGCUUCCGCACUUCAGCCCGAGUAACGGAAUUCAUAAGACCUCUAACGUUCCAGGCAGCUAUAUACAUAAUUACAAAAGAAGGGGAAGAGGGUUACCUCUUUCUAGAACCCUUAUUCCUACCCACCGUCAGAGGAGGAUCCGUAAUAGGAGGAGGGUCCGGGCAUAGCAGCAGCAGCUCAUCCUGCAUUGUCACAGCUGGGGUAGUAGAGCGAGGGUCUUUCGGUGGGAGAGAGUCUACCGAAAGCAGGUCUUCAUCUUCUGUCUCUUCCUGGAAGCUGGGAUUGACAAUCUCAUCUGAAUAAUGAGGUACUAACAAAUGAGGAGCAAUUGCUUUCUCUUUAGCCGAUAUAGAGGGGCCGUGACCAGCUUUAGAGGGUGCUGCGCCCGUACCAGCAGACUUCCGAGAUGCUGGUGCAACUCUCACUCUCCUUAAAACAAAGUCUUUUAGCUUCAACGAUUGGCCUCCUUCACGAAAAGGAGCUGAGUUGGAGGAGGCAGCCUUUUUUGUGAAAGGCUUUUUCUUUCUUUUGACUUGUUUCCACUCAGAAUCGCCAGGGGGAGGGAUGCUAGAUGGAUCGUCCGCCAUCCUCAAAACCAGUCUUUCUUCCUCAGCAACGCCUUCAGUAGACUUGACUGCGAACAUAGGAUCAACUGCAUAUGUUUCUAUAGUCUUGUGUAUUUCGGCCGAGUUCCCCCCUCCCUGAGGACUUCCAGGAACAGUCCUUGUAGUAACCAUAGGGUUGAUAUGCAUCUCUGUAGUUCGAAGGUUCAUGAGGUGGGGGCUCGAUUGGCCCUGAGGCCGAGAACCAGUAGGAUCAGAGACAUUCUGAACACUAGCAGUUGCUUCAACCAGUAGGGUUGAUAUGCAUCUCUCUACCAAUGCAAUUUUCAUAACUGAAAAAUCGUGGCAAUGAGACAUUUCAUAGCUAAAAAGGUACAUAUUCUUUUUUUGGCCACCAUUGUAGCCACGAAAGUUUUCGUUACUAUUUUAGAGAAAUUUGUCUAGGAUCACCUAGUCCAGUUGAUGAAUUGAUAUCAAUUCAGUCAUAAACCUUUUGAUUGUGUUAAUUUAAUUAUAAACAUUUUGAAUUGAUGCCAAUUCAAUCUUAAACUUUUUGAACUAGUGUCAAUUUAAUCAUAAACGUUUUGACUUGAUGUUAAUUCAAUUAUUCUCAGUAAUUUUGGUUAUAUAUUGCUAACAAGGACGCCAACUGACUUAUGUGGUAUGGUUGGUACUAAUAUUAAUAAUUUUUAAUAAUAUUUCAAUAUUUUUCAAUAUUUUAUUCUUUUUUAUGAUUUUUUUUCUCUCAUUUCUUCUUCUUCCUUUUGCCAGUGACUGGCCAUCGGCCACGGUUGAGCAAGCUAGCCUCACAUGGCCAUGGUGAGGCCAAGCCUCAACAAGGGUCAACCUCACCGGAUCUAGCCUUGCAAACCUCACCAGAUCUAGCUUGGGCAAGGCCAACCUUCGCUGAGUGUCACCUUCGCCCGUGUUUUCUUCUAGAAGAUUAUCAGCACGAUGUGCACCUAUUUGAAACUAACGGAUAAGCUGGCCAUUCUUCAAUUGAACGGAAAAAAAAAAAUUGAUCUCUCUUGCAUAACGAGAUGAGAAAACUGUUACCACAGAUUGCUCCAGCACCGGUCGGCAAGCUCCUUCAGCUCUAUAUUGCUAAAAGAAAUGACUGGAGAAUGAUUUUCCCUUUCAAAGUCAUCAUGGCUGUUAGAGAAAUUAACUCUGAUUCUGUGAUUUUUAAUUUUCUAAUGUUAGGAGUGAUUCGAUUUGUUUUGAGAUUGACUCUAUGAAGAUGGCAAGAAUCGCAGUUAUAUGUAUUUGUAGUAGUUGCUAUAAUUAGCCUGGUAGGUGUUCGUUAAAAUUUCCUAGGGAAAUUUGAGUUGAUUGUCUUACUGGACAAUCAUCUUUUGUGAAUGAUAAAUGUCUUUACUUGUGUACAACAUGCAGGUGUGAGAUUUUAUCUCUUCAUUUUUCUAUAGUCCUCUGCUUUUUUUUAUGUUCCUUGCUACAUCUUUCUAGUUCUUGAGUACAAUGUUGUCAUUUCCACUUGCUCAAGUUGUUUUGGGUAGUUCUGAUAAUCAGCUUAAGUAAGCUGUCAUUGUGUUUGGUAAGCUUUCCUAGUAUUUGCUUUACAAAUUUGGUACCUUACAUCAUGUUAUGAAAAUUGAAUUCCAUAAAAUUGUAUUUAAAAUUGAUCAUAUAACAUGUAUGUCCCUUAUUGCACGAAUAGAGUAUCUCCUAAGUUUUUCUUUUUUUAACAAUAAAGGGUAAUUUUUAGUAUGAUUCCAAAUUUUAGCCAAACAUCAGGAAAUAUUAUCAUGUUCUCAAUUGACACCCGAAUUUUCGUCGAUAAAUCCAGCACACAUUUGUGUAGAAAAUAUAAUUGUAGUUAAAAAAAAAAUUACAAAUGAAAAAAGAGAGAGAGAAAAUAAAAUGGUAAAACUCAAGCUCGCUAGAUGAAAGUCAUCAAUCUAGUCGAAUCCGUGCCACCACUCCGGCCCAAAACUCAUCAAAUAGGUAAAAGCCCGCUCACCAGACCCGUGAAGCUUCAGUCCACACUUCGCACAGGCCCAGAGUCACAAGUCUGAGCUGAAGGAACCAAGCCCACAGAGGAUUUGCGUUUUCUCCCUCUCUCGCCCGAAGCUCCAUCUCCACCAUUCGAGUUUCACAAUGGUCGCUUCUAGUAUUCCGCCAUCUCCACCGCCUCGCAUCGGCUUCUCCGGCCCUCAGACGUAACUCUUCCAGUUCCUCCCACGGGGAAAAGCUUUCUGAGUCGUGCCGAUAGCUCUGCGGUUCCAGCCUCGACUCGUCUUGAAUUUCCUGCAUUCCCUUGAAGCUUCUCAAUCUCACUCGAACUGGAGCCAAUCGUAGCCAAGCGCCUCCCUCGCUCGACAACUUCAUUAUCGUUCGUUUUUGUCACUGCCUUCUCCUUCGGUUUCUGUCAUCUUCGUUCCCCGACGGAGGAGAAUCGCCGUGACUGAAACUCGAUCAGAAUUGGAUUCUUCGCUUCGAGCUCUUCAUCAUUCGGUUACUGCAACAAUUUUGAAGGUAAGCUGUCUCUCAUUCUAUGGAUUUCAUUUUACAAUUCAGUCAAUAGCAUCGAUUCUCGGUCUUUUUUCUGAAUUUCCAGAGACCUCUUCAUCCAAAUUUCUUCUCUAUUGCCCUCCGGACACUGUCGGCCACUGCCAACCUCAACCAAUCGUCACCGUUCCCAUUUCCAUGGCCACCGUCGGAAGCUCUUUCCGCCCCUGUUCUCGGUCGGUCACCAUUGCUGAAGUGCUCGGACUGUGGUCACCACUCUCUCACGACGGUUCCAGUUCAUGAAGCUGCUUCUAUAAUCACCUUAUUGAGGUCCGAUCGUUAAUCGUCACAGGUAAUCAUCCUUUAUUCAAUCGAAUCACAUAUGCUGUGUGUCCAGUUGCUCUACGUACAGACUACUGCAUGGGUAAAAUCUACUAAUUGCUUUGUGAUCAUCUCGUUCACAUGACUGAACUGUAUUGAUAUGCAUAUUUGAGGUUGAGGUGCUUUUCUUUAUCUUCAUAUCAGAAUUGUGCAGUGCGUGCUUGAGCCGAGACAUUCAUCAGUAUAUUUGUCGACUUACUUUCGUCGAUUUGUUCAAUGCAUGCCCGACCGUUGCUCUCAACACGUUGUGCUGAUCAACGCUUUAGAGAAGCUGCGCUUGGAUUUGCUGGAACCAGCUUAUACUCGACUGGUCAAGUUGAGCACUAUACUUGCUAUUAGCAAAGGUGGUCACUGCAGCAACCAUCUAGUUCGUGAAUAAUUCCCCUAGAAAUGAAAAAAUAGGUGCAAUUCUUAAGAGAAACGGCCGCGGUCCGUGAAAACAAGAUGAGAAAAAGAGAAAAUGUACCUGAUAAACCCGUAUAGAGGAUUAAGGCGUUAUAAAGCAGAAAAACCAGAUGUCACAGCUGUAUAGUCAAGCGCAAACAGCUUGUUAUGUUAAUCCUGAUAAUUAUCGGAGCAAACUGAAGCUGUUCGGCUGCUUAGAAAGACACUCCUUUGUAGAUGCCCAAAAACAAUAAAAAUAAAAACCAAGCCCACAACCAGACUUCUUAAGUACGCGCGUUUCUCUCUUCAUACUGCCGGAACAUACGAAUUAAAUGUUCUCGAAGGAGUCCUAACCAAGCCCACAGCCUGACUUACUGAUUGAAUGUUCUCUAUUUUAUUUUGUGGUGUCCCAGUUUUGUGGGUUUUCGAUUGUUGAAUUGACUGAAUUGACAUCCUCUUGUGAGAAUAUUCUCGGAUGGGACUUCGGUUGUGAGGUAAUUAGACUCGGUUUCCUUCGUUAAUCGAAUGGCAGAUUUUUUAUUAGUUUGGCUUUUUAGUUAGGGCUUCUAGGUGAAUUCCAAUUCAAUGCGACCAUGUGAACAUCAUGUUGAUAUAGCUAAUUCGAAAUUAAUAUGAUUUGACUCUUUUUGGAUACUUUUUGGUGAAAAGGGCGAUUCCUCGUAAUAAUUAAAAUAAAAAAAUUUAUAUUGAAAAUUUCAUGAUAAGAGAAAGUAUUUUUCAUGAAAUUUUGAUUUGUUUAAUAGUUUAAAAAAAAGAAGUGAUUUCCUUCUUGUUAUAAACGAAAUGCGGUUUUUCCACCACAUAUUUCAAAAAAUGCAAAAGUAAGAAACUAGCAACUAGCAAUCGUUUUUAUGAUAUGUUCAGAAAGUUUGGCACAAGAUUGUAAGAUGAACUAUUUGAGGGGGACAAAAGAGUAGUCCCUCUAAUUUGCUGGUACAAUAUAGUGGUGUUUUCUUGAUUUAGAUUGUUGGGAUCACCACUCAAAUUAUUUUCAUUUUAGUUAUUACACAGAUUUUCUUUUGAUUGAUUAGUUUGACACCAUUUUUUUUUUUUUUGGGUCGAAAGUUUGACACCAUAUUGAUUUGGGCUCCUUUGGUGUAACUAGAAAUUUUGUGGUUCAACCAAUGCAUACCCUGUUUGGCAUAUCUCCUCCCUUUCUAUUACCGUUACAUAUAAUAUUGUUUGUCUGAUCACUCUCAUAGCUUUUUAUUAUGUGUGAAAGAUAAUUUUAAUUAAUUGUUCCUUUUCGGAUUUUUUAUAUUUUCUUAUGUUCAUCUCGCACCUUAUGUUGUUCUUCUUGUUGAAGAGUCUUCGAUACAAAUGACGUCAUUAUUCCAAUUGUGUUGGUUGAUAAUGAUGGCAAUUAGCAAAAGCUAAGGAAUUAAAGAAAAAUCUGGGGCUUUUACUUUGUUUUUCAAUACAUAUUUUUUAUUUUAUUUUUGUGACUGAAUAAUUUUGGAGUUGGUUAUUAAUUGAAGCAAGAAAUUCUCAAACUAGCACCAAGAUGCAAAAAAAAAAAAGAAAAAUGCCAACUUCCUCACAUUUUGUAUGACAGGACAAAAAUUCUCUUAUCUGGAAAAGAAAAAAAAACGAGGAGGAAGUAUAGAUUGUCCAUUGAAAAUUAGUCUUUUCAAUUAAUUGGCUCCUUGAAAUUUAUUUUAUAUCAUUACACUUUAAACUUUUGCAAUAGGCAUCAUUUUACCCAAACUCCUUUGGAAUGGUGUCUUUAUAGAUUUAGAAUGUUGUAUGAUACUAUAUGUGAAUCGCAAGCCCGAUAGAAUUAGACCUGAAUAAAGUAUUUUGUAUCAUAAGCAUUCAAAGUAAUAGCACAAAUACAAUGUGCAGCCAAGCAGGAAAUUCUCAACGAGUAAUAUCACACUGAGUCACAAGUGUAAGCUGAGCCCAAGAGGCCCAUCAGCCCAAAGCCCAUAAAAAGAACCAAGCCCAGCCACAUCUUGGUUUUAUCCUCUCUCUUUCUCUCUCUUCCGUUUUCUCUCUCUAGCCCUCUAAAGCUUCAAACGAAGAGGCGCUGGGGGAAACGGGAUCGAUUCUCCAUCUCCCGCGGUUCGAGUUUCACCGGAGGUUAUUCAUGGCCGAUUCUAGUAUUCUGCCAUCUCCGCCGCCUCGCAUCGGCUUCUCCGGCCUUCAGACGUAACUCUUCCAGUUACUUCCAUGGCGAAAAUCUUUCUGGUUCGCGCCGAAAGCUCUGCAGUUCCGGUCUCGAUUCGUCUUGAAUUUGCUGCAUUCACUUGAAGCUUCUCCAUCUCUCCCUUAAGUGAUAAGCCAAUCGUAGCAAGCACUUUCUCGCUGACGACUCUUAUCUUUCGUUUUUGUCACUGCCCUCUUCGGUUUCCAUACAGGGAGACAGCCGUGACUGAAACUCUACUGAACUCGGAUUCUUCACUUCGAGCUCUUCAUCAUUCGGUUACUGCAACAAUUUUGAAGGUAAGUUCUCUCUCAUUCUCUGGAUUUCAUUUCUCAAUUCAGUCAAUAGCAUUCAUUCUCGGUCUUUCUCUGAAUUUCCAGAGACCUCUUCAUCGAAAUUUCUUCUCUAUUGCCCUCCGGACACUGUUAGCCACCACCAACCACCACCGGUCGUCACCGUUCCCAUUUCCACGGCCAACAGCAGAAGCUCUGUGCGCCCCUGUGCUCGGUCACCAUUGCUGAAGUGCUCAGACUGCGGUCACCACCGUCUCUCACGAUGGUUCCUGUUCAUGAAGCUGCUUCUAUAAUCACCUUAUUGAGGUCCGAUCAUUAAUCGUCACAGGUAAUCAUCCUUUAUUCAAUCGAAUCGCAUAUGCUAUGUUUUCAGUUGCUCUUCGUACAAACCACUGCCUGGGUAAAAUCCACUAAUUGCUUUGCGAUGAUCUCGUCCACAUAACUGAACUGUAUUGAUAUGCAUAUUUGAGGUUGAGGUGUUUUUCUGUAUUUUCAUAGCUGAAUUGUGUAGUGCAUGCUUGAGCCGAGACAUUCUUCAGUAUAUUUGUCGACUUACUUUCGACGAUUUCUUCAAUGCAUGUACGACCGUCAGUCUCAACACGUUGUGCUGAUGGAACCAAGCUUAUACUCGACUGGUAAUGUUUAGCACUACACUUGCUAUCAGCAAAGGUGGCCAUUCGGUUCCAUGUCGGAGCAAACCGAAGCUUUUCGGCUGCUUAGAAAGAUAUUCCUUGCAAUUAAGAUGCAAAAAAACCAGACUUAGUAAUUUUGCUAAUGAAUUGGCUGAGUCACGACUAACCAAGCCCACAAUAGAGAACAAAAUCUUCUUAAGUACGCGAGUUUCUCUCUUCGUUCUGCUGGAACACACGAAUUGAAUGUUCUCAAAGGAGUCCUAAUUUUUUUGUAAAGAAAUCCUCAGGAAGCAAUGACAUACCUACAGGAUGUAGACGCAUACUAUCUAAGUUUAAUAUAAAGAGUUAGAAACUAUCAAAAUAUAUCAGGAAUAGGACGUGCUUACAAUCCGCAAAAGUAAAAGGAAUUAGAAGAAAUUGUUACGUGUAAUGAUCCGUUAGAAUUACUUUAAUGUUACUAGCUAAACUUCAUCAAUGAAGAUCACGUCAUUUAAUUAUAAACUGAAAUGUGUGGAAAUGGUGUAAUUUAGCUUAUCAAAUAGAGUUGUGUUUGGCACCGCUCUUUCUCUACAAGGUUUCCUUUCUUUUCCCUUGAAGCCACCUCCUAUCUGCAGUGUGUCCCUGAGGGGGAGAGGUCCCUUCCUCCCUUCCUCCCUCCUUCCUUUCUUCCCUUUUUCGAAGUUUUCCAUAUUUCUUUUUCUCCCGAUUUGUUCUAGGAGUUUGUGUAUAAUUAUAUUUUUGCAGCUGAUUUUGGAUGAGUGUGGAGACUAGCUUGGCCAUCCAUCUAGUCGACAACCACUGAGGAUGGUGUUCAUAAUAUGGCUCCACAACCUCUUCAAGGUUAUGCUGUUUUCUUCUCUCGAUUUGGACUUAGGUGAAGCUUGGGUUUUACUCUCUCAAACUCGAUCAAAAUAUAGAUAUGUGAGCUCCUUAUAAGUACUUGAUCCGUGUUCUUUCAACAUUUUGAUGCUGGUGUCUUUGCAAGAUAAUUUUGCAAGAUAAUGGUGAUGAAGACAUUGGACCUAGAUGUGCACCCCAAGCCUUUGCAAAUAAAGUGGGAGAUUUUGGCGUGUACUCAUGAUUGAAUCUAGUGACCAUCCAUCAAUCGUUUAUGGUGUCAAAGUUGUUCUUAAGGGAUGAAAGUGUGCUUCUAGCUAUAAACUAUACUUUCUUAUUUGCUUUCUAACUUUUGAUUUGUUUUGCAAUUAUUUGGGAUUUAUUAAGCUUGAAAGCCUUCUAUGUACCUCUCGAGUAUUAUUUUGAUAUAUGAAUAGUAUCUUUCUUUUCACAAAAAAUAAAUAAAUAAAUAGAGUUGCGCUCGUCAUUUACUUAAGGUACAAGUAGUUACAACUGAACUUUUGGACAGGAGACACGACAACCAGAAAGAUUACAUAUAAAAUGUUGCAAACAACCGACAACUAAAAAGUUUUACGUAUCAGAACUUUUGAAUUGGAAACAACUUACGAAAAAUAUGAUAAGAACAAAGAUAUGCACUAAAGAUGCUCUAAUACUCUCCUCAAUAUGAUCAGGAUACCACCUCGAAGAGAUUGUUCUUCAAAAGACGAAACAUAAUCAGUUGCAAAGAUGUCAAUUGAAAAAUCAAUAGUUGGAAUUGCCAGAUAAAAUGGAUAUUAAUGUCAAUAUACUUCGUGUGAGCAUGGAAAAGCCGGAUUAGCAGCUCGAUAAGUGGCUCCAACAUUAUCACAAAUGACUUCAACAGGUUUAGGCAAAAAUAUAUGAAGAUCAACUGAAAUCUGCCGAAUCCAAUCAAGUUUCUGCAACUCCAUCGGCGAAACUCCUGUAGCCAGAUUUCGCAAGUGGGUUGCUCUUUUAGCAUGCCAGAAUAAUGUCGGACCCAAGAAAAGUCACACAUCCAGAUGUUGAGACGAGUAUCAAGACAACCAGCCCAAUCAGCAUGAGGGAAACGUCACUAAGGUGCUGUCAAGUACGGCUUCAAAAAACAGACUACCAACUCAAGUUCUACUACUCACAUAUCGCCGUAUCCUGGCUGUGAAUUGCGGUUUUUGCUUUUCUCGACUUGAUUUAGUUGACCACUUAUUUUUUGGUUGCCCUAUUCCUAUUGCCUUAAUCAUUUUUUGGGCUGCUAGAUUUAAUUUCACUUGGCGGAAUAAAUCUUGGGUGGAUAAUCUACUCUGGGCGAUCAAGUACUAAUCCGGUGCUUCUUUUCGCUCCUCUCUUGCUCGGUUCGGGUUUGCUGCUCUUUGCAAUAUCAUAUGGAUGGAGCAGAAUAACAUACUUUUCCGGGGUAGACCUCCUUCCCUCUCCGCCAUGAAAGGACAUCUUGAAAGAGUUAUAAAGGAAAAAGCUUUAUCCUUCCAUCAUGUUCCUCCCACUGCUGCAAAUAGAAGACUGCUACAAAGCUGGGCACUCAAUCAUUCCAUUUUAGCGGACUAAUCUUUUUGUUUGGUCAUCCGGCUUUUGAGUAGGAGGUUUCUCCUUCAACCUUUAUUGUUCGGAGGUUUUUUCGAAUUCCUAGAUGCUGCUAUGGAAGCUUGGAGUGGAGGUCUUUUGCUCCUCACUAUGGCAACCGUCGCUUUCUUAUCUACCUGUCCUAGAGCGGGCUUUUGGGUUUCUCUUUUGUUUUGCUGUACCCUCUCUGGUCUCUAUUUUGGGGUAAGCUAGCUGGUUCUCUUUGGCUGCUGUUUAGUCCUUUCCUAUAGCCGCUUGGCUUAUUUCCGUUUACCUUGGCCCUUUUCCACUCGCUCUGACUUCUAUCUUUGUGAGUGCAAGUUUUUGGGUCCGAGAUCUCGCUGUAUAGCUCUAUAUAGCUUUCUGGUUUAAAAUCAAUAUAAUUCUUACCUUUACUAAAAAAAAAAAAAAAACGGCUUCAAAAAGAGUCCAUAAUCGGUAGUUCCAUAUAAAAAUCUAAUAAUGCACUUUACCGCUUGUAACUGAGGUAUACGAGGGCAAUGCAUAAACUGAUUCACAAUACUAACAGCAUACGAAAUGUGUGGUCUAGUGAUAGUUAAUUACUAUAAAGCCCCCCAUCGUGCUUCUAUGUUCGAUAGGAUCCAUCCAUAAAUCUUCUUCCACCGCUGUCCCAUUGGACUUUCUAUUUUUGGUAGUGGAUUAUCAGUGAUUUAUUUUCCCCUAAGUUUUAAUUUGAAUAUUUCUUUAUUAAUGUUAUGGUUUUCUUCCUUUAUAGAGAUCUUGAAUAGUCAACCCGCGCCUCUAUUAUUCUUUGUUGUUGUCAAAAUUUCUUGCAAAUCGUACAAUUUUUCUGAAUUUUGAGGCAAUCUCUUAAUCUGUGUAAGUACUUCUUUCUUUCUGAACUUCCGCUUGCUAUUUUUAUCCUACCGUUAUUACAUUUAUAAUCGGAGUACCUAAUCCACAUGUGAAAUUAUCUUUAUGAUUACAUUCUUGAAUUUCUUCAUCUUCCACUAAUUCAUAGGCGUAUUCUUCCUCUGUUUCUUAUGACAAUGACACAGUUUCUAGAAUUUCCAAUUGAUAUAUGUUCUUUUGAAUUUGCAAUUUGACUCAUAACAGACUACUUCUUUGUUUCUUUUAUUUAUGAAUUUCUUUCCAUACUUUUCUCUAUUGUUCUUAUAUGAUAUGAGCCAUUGAGAUGAAUGACAUGAGCAAGCCACCGUUCGGUGAAAAGUACAAGUUACUGUAAAGCAAAUUGAGCAUCCACCAGGCACUUAUAAAUGCAAAUGGUACUAUAAGCACUUUUUUUUUUCAGUACAUGACAUACAUGCAAGAUCAAAGAGAAGUUAUAUCACUUCAACAAAACUUUAUAUGUAUCUGAAAUAGUUAUUCAAUUAAUAAUAUCAAAGCAAACAUCAACGAGUUAGUUUAUUAAUCAAUCUAAUGCUUAAUAUCGAACUAUGGUCACGUUUAACACUCCGUGACGAGACCUAGCAAGAUUCCCUUUUGACGUAGGUCUCCACUUUAUAUAAGCUAGCGUCUCGACCAAAACAGGACAUAUUGAGAACUGUAUACAUACUCAUAACCAUUGAAUGGGUUCAAAUUAUAGCUGCAAGAGCAUAAACUCCUCCAACCAAUCACGUAAGUAUUUCGCCAUUCAUAAACUAGUUCACUAAUCAAUAUAUGUAUCGUUGCACAAUUCUUUCCAUAAGGAAGAAUGCAUUUCACAUGGCCCUUCUCAAACCAUAUCACAAAUAAUUAAUUUUCAAACUAUUUCAAGAGAUACUUUGCUAUGCCAUUUCAGUAACAAAAGCAUAUUCAAUGUUAGAUCAUGUUUUAUGCAAAAAAAUAUACUCUAAACACCACUGUUUUUUUUUUCCUUUUUAAAUGAAUAGCAUACCAUGUGUUACCUUUUUCAUUGCUUAUGGCAUAAGUAUUUUUUGUCAUUAUCAGGACAUGAGUUCACAAAUCACACAAUAAAUAAGCACCGCUCACCUGAAUAUGCGAAACCAAACAAUGAAAGCUACCUUACAAACAGAAAAAUCAAGUGAGAAAUGUAGAUUGAAAUUAAGUAUUAACUACCUCAACUAAAAGUACAACUAAGCUUAUUUGGCAACAAAACAACUCCAAUGUGCUAACAAAAAGCUCACUUAAAGUAGAACUCACGAGCGAUUUUCAAAAAAAAUGAGCUCUAAAGAAUUUUGUCACAAGUGGGUCCAAAGUCAUUAGAAAUUUAACCCGACCUUCGACCCAAAAGAGGUCCAGCAAAGGGUGAAAACUGGUGUCAAACACAGUAGUUCAUACAUGGUUCCAACAGUGCACAAUGAACUUCAAAAUUUCAUCCCGACCAAAUCGUACUCCCAAAUUUACUUCCAUAAAAUCCCAUAUUUCCGUGAGACGGUAAAUUUCAUCGCAAUAUGAUUUUAUAGCUCAACAACUUCUAGAAUCAACUCACCAACCUAAAUCCCAAAUUGAGUUGAAAUUAUAGCUUAUCCAAGAAAUUUUUUUCAAUUAGAUAAUUUAAGUCCUUGAAUUUUAUCGAACGGUUCGCAAUGGCGCUUAAGAUGACCUAAACCCUCUAUCUCUGUCUCAUAACUAUUCUACUUUCUCCUGUUAACCUAGCUCCAACAUUUACAAAUAAGCUGAAGGAAGUUAGUCCGUUGGGCUUCUAAGAUGGAGCUUCAUGGGAUAAAAUGAGAAUUGGCCCAAUUGGGUCUCUUGGGCCUAAACCCAUUUUCUUUUCAUGGUGGCGGCCUGUAAAGUCUUAGACACAGGAUGAGGGGAAAAUAAUGAAUGAACCCUGAGCAUUUGAGCUCGGCUCAAAUCGACCAUCGAAUGGUGUGGGCUCCUUGUGAAAGCUAACUUUUCACAGUUGCACCUGAAUAAUUAUGAACCUAAAAUUCAUUAUUUACAAUGCAAAAUUUCCCUAUAGAUGGAGUCAGGUUAGUAAUUGGGUAAUUAAAUGUGAGAUGAUUAGUCUAGCUAGUAGCGCCAGUGACCGCGUUGGAAUAAGUUGUCCUGGCGGUGGUGUUGAUGACCACAGCGUGGCAAUGGCCGUGGGAUCGGUGGCGCUCUCUCGGUCGCCCCAUUCCUAAUUUUUUUAAGUUUUGCUGUUUUGUCUUCUCCGUUUCUCUUUAUGCCAUUUUUAUUUUAUCGAACUUUAACUUGUAAACAUAAAUGGAAACCUAGACAUAAUUUUAAUAGACACGCGCAAUAGAGAGUAAUGAAUGAAAAACCCCGACAUGAUUAAACAUGAAAAGAGUUGAAUGAAAAUAGUAUUAUUAAUUAUAUAUAAUACGUGAAAAUUCUGCUAGUAUUGGAAAAAGAGUCACGUAGAAAUGGUAGAGGAGGGAUGCGAAAAGUAAAGCAGCAAAGCCAAUUUGCGUCAUGCAAUCUCUUGAUCUUUGUGGAAUUUUAAAGUUUCUUUCCAUUGGUAGUCUUUCUUUAAGUGCUUCACUUUUGCUUCACAUGUUAGGCAUAGAAAUUACCAAACAAGAUAGCACAGGAUAUCCAAUAAAGUCUUUGGGGUAUAUUCCCCGAAUAUUACAAAACAAACUGUUGUGCACAAAAAAUAUUUUAUUUUGUUGGCUAUAACCUCUAAUAGGCAUCUUUGAAAGUCUUGGUCUUUGAUUAAUCUAUGGUCGUUUGGUGUGGCAAGUAUAUUAUAUGUGUGUGAUGUUGUGUAGUGUAAUUUUCUAUACAUUAUAUGGUAUUAAUUGGUGAUUUUGACUUAUUCAGUAUUGCAAAGCAAGUUGCUCAAUGGACUAGUUGGUGGGGGAAAAUUAUUCAAAAUUCCUAAAUUUUAUUGCACUUUUUACCGAUUCAUCAUAAAUCUUUUAAUUAAGUCAAUUUUUUUGGUCAAAAUUGUAUCAAUUAAAUCCUUAACCUUUUCAUAUUUUGUUAAUUAAAUCCAUUUGCCCAAUUUUAAUCAGAAUUCAUUGAUAUUGACACCAGCUGUCCUAUGUAGCAGGACAACUAGCGUUGAUGUGGAUAAUUUUAAUAUUAUUUUAAUAUAUUUUUGGAAAGAUUCCAAAUAAGUGUCUGAAGUAUUUUCAUUUUCUAAAAUAAAAGUUUGAAAUAGACUUUGUUUCAAACAAAGACUUGAAGUGCCAUUGUUUUCACAAAUAAGGGCUUGAAAUGGCUAUAUCUAUUUCAAAUAAGAGCUUGACUGUUUAAUUACCUAGGGCGCGUUUGGUAACAUUUUUGUUCAAAAAUUGUUCUAGGGAACAGAAAUAAAAAAAAAAAAAAAAACUAUUUUUAUUCCGGGGAACAAUUUUUGAACAAAAGAAGGCGUUUGGUAAACUUGUUCCGGGAAUAAAAAAUAAACAGAAACACGUUUGGUAAAUUUGUGUUCUUUUUUUGUUUCUUUUAAUUUUUUAAUAUAUUUAUUUCUUUUUUCUUUUUUUUUUCUUCUUUUGGCCUGUCGUCGACCUCAGCCAUGGCCGGAGACCGGACGACAAGGGCCGGCGGCCUUGCCUAGCCACGGCGAGGCUCGCCGUGNNNNNNNNNNNNNNNNNNNNNNNNNNNNNNNNNNNNNNNNNNNNNNNNNNNNNNNNNNNNNNNNNNNNNNNNNNNNNNNNNNNNNNNNNNNNNNNNNNNNUGGUGCGGGGCGAGGCUAGGUGUGGCUUGGCCUCGCCGGGGCCACCCCCAGGCCGGUGAGCUUUCCGGUGGUUGGGUAAGGCGAGCCUCGCCAGGGGCCGGCGACGCUCCAGGAGGUCGCCAGCCCUAGACGGCGUCACCGGCUCUCAACGACCGGUGGUCGGCCAUGGCCAAGGCCGACGACCGGUCAAAGAAAAAAGAAAAAGAAAAGAAGAAAAAAAAGAAAAGAAAAAGAGUGGAGAGAGAAAAUUGUUCCAGAAACAAGAAACAUUUGGAACAAAGAAGAUAAUAAAAAAUAAUUUUGUUGAUAAACAAAUGUUUUUCUUGUUUCUCGUUUCUGUUCCAAAUGUGUUUCUAGGAACAAACAAAUAGAUUUGGAACAAAAACGCAAACAAACGCAUUUCUGUUCUUUUUUUGUUCACUGGAACAAAAAAAAUAGAAAUUUUGUUGAUAAACAGAAAAAAAGAACGUUAACAAACAGGGCCCUAAUGGCAUUUUCAUCAUCUAUAUUUUUUACGUUUUUCCUUUUUCUAGUUUUUCUUUCUUCUCUGUUGGUGGUCAGCUGGGCACUGGCAAUGCCCAAAGAGAGCUAGAUGAGGGCCACCCUCACCAGCCAUAAGUAAGGGAUGGCCUCCCCUUAGGAGAGACCACCUUUGGAACCAUCGGCGAGGCUGAUGAGGCUAUCUUCACCCUAGGGGAGGCAGCCCUCUCGACCAUUGGUGAGGUCAGCCCUCGCUAGUGGCAAACAAGGGAUGGCCUUGCCUAGGCGAGGCGACCCUUGCCUCAAGUGAGGUCGACGAGGGUCGUCGAGCCCUCACUAGCCCUUACCAGUCGUCGGCAAGGGCCACCUAACCCUUGUUGACCCUCGCUAGAGGUCGCAUGAUCCUUGCUCAAAAAUAUAUAAAGAAAAAAGAAGAUAAUAAAAAAUAAUUUAAAAUUAAAUUUUAUUUAGAUGAAGACGCCCUUUAACUAGUCAAAAUACAAAGUCGACCAACGAUUGACAUAGUUAGACCCUUAUUUGAAACAAUCAUGACUAUUUCAAGCCCAUAUUUGAAAUAAUUAUGGUCACUUUAGAUCUUUAUUUGACACAAAGUCUAAUUCAUGCUCUUAUUUGAGAAAAUGCUAGCACUUAGGCCAUUGUUUGGAAUUUUCCCUUUUUUAUUCAUUUGUUUUAUUUUCCUUUUUUCUUUUCUUAUAUAUUCCUUCUUUAUUUAUUUUUUUAAAUUUUAUUCUCUUUUACCUUUUUUUCUUUCUUUCUUUUUCCCUUUUCCCCUCCGCCCUUACCUUUUUUUUUUUCUUUUUUUCUUUUUCCCUUUUUCCCUUCGCUAGCCAUCACCUCGUCAAUGGUCAAUGAAAGGAAAAGAAAAAAGAAAAGAAAAGAAGAGAAAUGGAAAAAAAUAAGAAAGAAUUUCGAAAAAAUAUUAAUAUAUUAAUUGCUCAUGUCAAAACCCGUUGUGUCAUGUAGAACAGCCAAUGCCCACAUAAGUGAUUUCUGACCAAAACUAACUAAAUAGACUCAAUUGGCAAAACGUGAAGAUCUGUAGAACUAAAUUGACAUAAUAUUAACGUUUACAACUGAAUUGACAAAAAUACAAUAAGAUUAGAACUUUUGGACCAUUUUUCCUUAAUGAUUGUGCCAAACCUUUUUUGUUGUUUUGCCUUAAGUAAUUAUUUCUAUUUUCCUUAUCCAACACAGAACGUUAGCCACCCAUGAUGACUUGUAGAUGUAUAACAAAAACUAAGCUGCCAUUGCUUGGUGUAUCAUUUGUUUAUCUGAAGAUUCAGUCAGUGCAAGCAGCACAAAGAUGCUCAUUUGCCAGUCCCAAUUAUGAUGGUUAGCUUCAUUCAUCUUAAAAUAUUUGCUAAUCUUUUGGCAAGAACUUUACGUGUUCGUCCAGAUUAAAGGACUAAUCGAGCACCUUCUUAUUUAUCCAUAAUAUACUCAAGGUAAUUGUUUUCUUAAACAUUUGGGAAUUUCUAGGGCUGUAACGGCCACGAAAAAGCCCACGUUGAUUGCAUAUUCAACGAUAUGUAGAAAUCAUUAGGAUACUAGAAAUUUACAGAUGCAUUCAAAGCCAAAAAGCAAACAAAACACAGGUAAGGAAAGAAAAGAUGCGUGGACUAGGUCAUAUUAAAAAAAAAAAAAAAUCUUUUGUCCUCUGUUCUGGACGCCCAAAAGAAAAAGGUCCUCUGCAUCAAACGACAGCGAAAAAUCUUGAUAUGAAGAAAAAGGCGAACAAUUCACGAAAUAAGCACUUGUAGAGAGAAAAUAUUUUACUUUGAUUUGUCUAACCUUUUAUGUACAUCCUUGAGAGUCUUGGUCUCUGUUUAAUCUUUUUGAUUGGUGAAAGUUUUGGUCAUCUUGAACUCUAUAGUUUCUCUCUCCAUAGGCUCAUUAUCACCUAGCUUCACCAUAUCGCGUGUCGUUUUCCACAAUGACCAAUUCAACAUAUAGAGAGAUCGUUCCUGGGUCUUUCAUGGCUCCCUUCUUAUGCUAAUUUAUAGUAUUGUUAACUUUAAACAAGACAUAUAAUAUGUCAAAGUGCUAUUUGUACUGAAANNNNNNNNNNNNNNNNNNNNNNNNNNNNNNNNNNNNNNNNNNNNNNNNNNNNNNNNNNNNNNNNNNNNNNNNNNNNNNNNNNNNNNNNNNNNNNNNNNNNNNNNNNNNNNNNNNNNNNNNNNNNNNNNNNNNNNNNNNNNNNNNNNNNNNNNNNNNNNNNNNNNNNNNNNNNNNNNNNNNNNNNNNNNNNNNNNNNNNNNNNNNNNNNNNNNNNNNNNNNNNNNNNNNNNNNNNNNNNNNNNNNNNNNNNNNNNNNNNNNNNNNNNNNNNNNNNNNNNNNNNNNNNNNNNNNNNNNNNNNNNNNNNNNNNNNNNNNNNNNNNNNNNNNNNNNNNNNNNNNNNNNNNNNNNNNNNNNNNNNNNNNNNNNNNNNNNNNNNNNNNNNNNNNNNNNNNNNNNNNNNNNNNNNNNNNNNNNNNNNNNNNNNNNNNNNNNNNNNNNNNNNNNNNNNNNNNNNNNNNNNNNNNNNNNNNNNNNNNNNNNNNNNNNNNNNNNNNNNNNNNNNNNNNNNNNNNNNNNNNNNNNNNNNNNNNNNNNNNNNNNNNNNNNNNNNNNNNNNNNNNNNNNNNNNNNNNNNNNNNNNNNNNNNNNNNNNNNNNNNNNNNNNNNNNNNNNNNNNNNNNNNNNNNNNNNNNNNNNNNNNNNNNNNNNNNNNNNNNNNNNNNNNNNNNNNNNNNNNNNNNNNNNNNNNNNNNNNNNNNNNNNNNNNNNNNNNNNNNNNNNNNNNNNNNNNNNNNNNNNNNNNNNNNNNNNNNNNNNNNNNNNNNNNNNNNNNNNNNNNNNNNNNNNNNNNNNNNNNNNNNNNNNNNNNNNNNNNNNNNNNNNNNNNNNNNNNNNNNNNNNNNNNNNNNNNNNNNNNNNNNNNNNNNNNNNNNNNNNNNNNNNNNNNNNNNNNNNNNNNNNNNNNNNNNNNNNNNNNNNNNNNNNNNNNNNNNNNNNNNNNNNNNNNNNNNNNNNNNNNNNNNNNNNNNNNNNNNNNNNNNNNNNNNNNNNNNNAGUCUAGGUUUUCCUGAUGAAAAGUAUUUUAAUAGAGCAUAUUAUCACGACAAGCUGUUUGAGUUAGACCGAAGAGAGGACCUUGAUGCACAUUAUGUCCUUGAGUUUAGAUAAAUCAAUCGUUGUCCUUUUUCUCUAUAUCAAGACUUUUGGCUGUCGUUUGUAAGAGAUGGCCCUUUCUUUUGGCAUCAAAAACAGAGGAUAAAAGGUGAUUUUUCUUCAUAUGACAAACUGAGGGUGCAUGCAUAUCUACAUCUAGAAUUUAUAACUUCUAAGUGUGCUGUUAUUAUUAUUAUUAUUAUUAUUAUUAUUAUUAUUAUUAUUAUUAUUAUUAUUAUUAUUAUUAUUAUUAUUAUUAUUAUUAUUAUUAUUAUUAUUAUUAUUAUUAUUAUUAUUAUUAUUAUUAUUAUUAUUAUUAUUAUUAUUAUUAUUAUUAUUAUUAUUAUUAUUAUUAUUAUUAUUAUUAUUAUUAUUGGCUUUUACAUGUCAGCUAUAAGAGCUAAAAAAAUUUGCAGAAAGAUCGGCGGCAAUGAUCCGUUGCAGGGUGCUAAAGAAAAUUGAUAAUCAUGAAUUGCUUGUUAAGAGAAUUGUGAUCCUUUGAACAGACAAAGUUAGUCCAAAGCAACUUGCUUAAUGGAUUAGUUAAGAUGCCAUUGUUGUGUGGAUCCUUAAUAUUUUUUUUCAUCUUUCAAAAAUAUUUGUUUUAGUCCGUGCAAGUUGCACAAAGAUGCUUAUUGUAGUCUACGCCAGUUGCACAAAAUGCUUAUUUGCUGGUCCUUUAAACAAUGGUCUGCUUUAUUCAAUGCUAAAUAAAAAAAGGGUCAAGUAUUGCCAACUAACAAGGUAUAAUCUACUAGAGAUUAUACUCUACGCAUCACACUAAUGACCAGGAAAAUCAUGUGAAGGAUCACGAUUGUCUUAUCAAGCGGUUCCCUAACGUCAACUACUGGCUUAUCACCCUUCAGCCGAUCACUGCUGCUCAUCUUGCUGCAAAUUUUCAGCGCGUAACUGCCACGUAAAGACCUAUAUCGAUCGUCUAUCCACCAAUAGCGCAUAAAACAAAGACAUUAAAACAUACGGUCAUUGAGAAUGUAUGGAUGAAAAAAAGAAGAAGAAAAAAAGAGAAGCCAAUGAGACACUUGUAAUAAAUGUUUAACGAUAAUCCGCAUGCACUCUAAGUUGGUCAUGUGAAGAAAAAUCACAUUUUCUCCUCUGUUUUGGAUCAAGACUUUUGGCUUGUUUUUGAAAUAGGGGAUCUUUUCUUGUGGCCAUGCAAAACAGAAAAUAAGAGGUGAUUGUUUUCCAUAUGACCAACUUAUAGUGCACGUGUAUUUUUCUCCAAAAAGCUGUUGAUUACUAUUGGCUUUCUGGCUCUUUUAGCAGUCAUAUAUAGUCAGUAUCCUUGUUCCAAUAUCUUUAUUUCAUGCUUUAUUGGUGAAUAUGCGAUCGCGGCAAGCUUUCACAUGAUAGUUACAGUAUAAAGAAUUCACCUACAUUUGAGAAAAUAAUACACUCAAAUAAUUUGAGUAUGUUAUGGAAAUAUAAGAAGUUCCUCGGUUCCUCAAAUGGGCGCGAACAUACAAAGCUACCUUUUUCUUAUUCAACGGACAAAGGUAACAAAUGUUAACCUGGAGUAUGUGAACCCAAAUUCACUGUUGAAUGAUGUGAGCUCAACGUGGAAGCCAAUUUUUCACGAUGCCCGUGAGAAACUGAUAACCCUAGAAUUAAUCCUUUACAUAUGAAAUCGCCUCUAGAUCAAUUUAGGUCAGUUAUUAGGUAAUCAGAGGCAAUUGCCUGUGAUGGUUGCUCCGCUUAGAAGCGCCGGCAGGGACAGUAGUGGCGGCAUUGGAUGAGUUGCCCAGGCGGUGGUGCUAACACAACGGUGCGGCCGUGACAAUGGGAUUGAUGGCACGCUCUCUCGCCCCAUUCUUGCAUUUUUUUUUUGUUUUUGGGUUUUUGGGUUUUUCUUUUUCUUUCUUUUAUUGAACUUUAGCUUGGAAAGAUAAACGAAAAUGUAGACAUAACUAUAAAGACAGGUACAAUAGAGAUUAAGGAAUGGAAAACCAGAGUGACUAAAAAUGAAAAAAGUUCGACAAUAAUUGUAUUAUGGUAAAUUUUAAGCAAGAGAAUAACAAUCAAUACUAAUUGUCAAAUAAUAUUUCAUUCAAACAAAAAAAUCACUUAGAAUCCAUGUAAUGAUUGGAAAUUCUACUGGUAAUGGAAAAAAAAAAAAAAAAAGACAUUCACAUAGGAUGGAAGAAGCGAGAUGUCGAAAGCCAAGCAACAAAUCCAAUUUGCAUCCCCUGCAAAGUCUUGGACUUCCUGGGUUUCAUUAAAGUUUCCUCCCCACAUAGGGAUUGAACACGAUUUUCCAGUUCAUUAAUGUAAUGCUUAAAGAGUUAUUUUCAGUAGAUUAUAAGUAUUCGUCGGUGGCUUUCUUAACUUGUUUACUCUUUUCAGACCAAAAUAAACCAAGUUGCUUUAUGGAUUAGUUAGUGUGGCUGACUUGUAGAUGUUUAGGUGCAAAGAACGUUCUUUUGUUUUCCUUGUUGAUCAGACAAAAUUAGCUGUCUUUGAUGACUUGUAGAUGUGUAACAAAAAGUCUUGGUCUUCACUUAAGAUAUCUUGGGAUAAUCUCUAAACAUGAGGAGACAAGCACCCAUGGAUGAAAAGAAAUUUAUUUUUUAUUCCUCUAACUAUUGGCGUGCACCCUUCAAAGUCCUGGUCUUUGUUUAAUGUUUUUGGUAGGUGAAAGUUUUGGCCUUCCUAGACUUUAUAAUAUUCUCUCUCAACUAGCUUAUUAUCACUUUGCUUCACCAUAAUCCAUGCCCGUUCCCUUGCUCAACAGUGUUCUCCUCCAACACGUCUGAACCUAGCUCUCGUGCUUCCUGGAUUGCUGUUGUUGAUCUAAUCCAGUUCGCCAAUCUGCUCCAGGAAGUCCACUCGGAAUAGGUAAGAGAUAUCCAUCUACUUGCUUUCUUUUUCCCUCAAACUGAUGCAGCAAGUUUAACAACAAAAUCGACGGAUUUUGAUGUCAAAUACUUGCUGGCCAGAUUAAAGUUGUCGCUUGAUUGUUGAUAUGGCUUAGUUGUUUUAAUUAGGUGAUGCCUCUCCACGCAUACUUGUUUGAGCCCAAACUUGGACCUCUAUUUUAUGAAUUUUCAUUACAUAUUAUAAUAGAAUUGCAUUAUAUUAGUAUCAGGACAAUUAUAUUAGAAAACUCAGAAUUUUCAUGGACAAGCAUUAUCACGCACAUCUAGGCCAUUUAGAGUGCAUUAUAUUUAAUUGUCAUAUUUGCAUGUUUCCUCUCAUAAGUCACGAAGAGUAUUAUCGCCUCAUUCCUGCAAUUUUUUUUUUCAGUUAUUUAUUUUUUGCUCUUUUUUCUUAAACUUAAAUUUGAAAAUAUAGAUGAAAAUCUAGACAUAAUUCCAAUAGACAAGUAAGACAGAGAUUAAUGAAUGAAAAAUCACAAUAUGAUUAAAAAUGACAAAAGUUGGAUAAAAUUUUUGCCUUUUGUUAGUUUUGAGCGAGAGAACAAUAAUUAAUGCUAAUCGUCCAAUAAUAUCUCAUACAAAAAAAAAAAAAAAUAGCACCCAUGUAAUGCGUGGAAAUUUUACUAGCAAUGGAAAAAAGACAUUGACAUAGGGAUGGGAGAGGAGGGAUGGGAAAAGUGAAGCAACAAUGCCACUCUACGUCUCCAUAAGUCUUGGUCUUCACGGAUAUCAUUAAAGUUUCUUUCCCAUCAGCUCUCUCUCAAUUUUCCUCCCCUUUCGCGACAAAGAAGUUCAUGAUAUCUAGUAAAGUCUUGUUCUUCCUAAAUUUAUGGUUUGCUUACAUGAACAAGUAUAUGAUUGUGGAAACCACAAAUACCUUGGUAUAGUCUAUCAAUAUUACAAAACAAGCACUUGCAGACAAAAAUUCCCAGCAAGAUGGAUGGCAAUAUCUGCUGAAGGGUAAUGAAUUAGCAGUUGAUGAUCGAGAAUCGCUUGAUGGGAGAAUCGUGAUCCUUCGAACAUGAUUUUCCUAUUCACUUGGGUGAUCGGUAGAGUAUAAUUUUCAAUAGAUUAUACGUUGUUAGUUUUGACUCGUUCACUAUUUGCAGAGUAAAAUAAAGCAACUUACUUGCUUAAUGGAUUGAUUGUUGUGCCUAAUUAUUUUUCUUGUUCAGCUCAAAGCAAGUGUGUUUGUUCUCCUUAUCGAUUAGACAAAGUUAGCUGCCUUUUAUGCCAUUGUUGAGUGGAUCCUCAAUAUUUUAUAUUUCAAAAACAUUUAUUUUGGUCUAUGAAAGUUGCACAAAGAUGCUUAUUUGUCAAUCCUAUUAAUUGUGGUCGACUUCAUUCAUCACUAAACAAACAAAGGGGUUGGAUAUGCCAACUAAUCCAUUAAACAAGUUACUUUAUUUUACUUUGUAAAUAGUGAAUGAGUCAAAAAGCAUCAACUAACAAUGUAUAAUUUGCUAGAAAUUAUACUCUAUGCAUCACACUAACAGGAAAACUUAUGCAAAGGACCAUGAUUCUCCUAUCAAUCCCUGCUCGAUUAUCAACUACUGCCUCAACACUCUUCAAUAGAUCAUUGCUGCCCAUCUUGCUACUAAUUUUCAGCACUUCAACUGCCAUGUAAAAGCGUACAUUGAUGGCAUAUUCACCAAUAAAGCAGAGAGCAAAGACAUUGAAAUCAUCAAGAUACUGAGAAUAUACAGAUGCAAAGAAAAAAAAAAGCCAACAAAACACUCGUAAGUAGGAAAUUUUAAAGAUAAUCUACAUAAACUCUUAAGUGAUUUUCCUCUAAAAAUUUAUUACUUUGUUUUGUCAGCUUUUUUUUUUCCAUCCGUAUAUUCUCAAUAUCUUUAUGAUUUCAAUGUCUUUGCUUUCUAUUUUAUUGAUGAAUAUGCCAUCAAUAUAGGCUUUUACAUGGCUGCUAUUGUGCUAAAAAUUCUCAUAUGGUUAAGAAAAAUAAUAUACUCAAAUAAUUUGACUAUAUUAUGGAAAUAUAAGAUAUUCCUCGAUUCCUCCUUCAAAGUGGAUGAACAAACAAAGUUAGCUUUUAAAAGUUAGCUGUUGUAGAUUUAUAACAAAAAGGCUGGGCUUCCUGAGUUUAUGAUUUUUUUAUAUUAACAAAUAUGUGAUUGUAGAAACUACAAAAAUCUAGGGAUAAUCUCUAAAUAUUACGAGACAAGCAAAAUGGCUUCUUCUUUUAAAAAAAAAAAAUUCCUCUAACCACUAAUAUUAAUCCUUGAAAGUCCUAGUCUUUGUUUAAUGUUUUUGGUAGGUAAGAAUAUGGUCUUCUUGGACUCUAUCAUUUUCCCUCUCCAUUAGCUCCUUGUCACUUUGCUUCACCAUAACCCUUUUUAACUGAUCCACCCAUUUUCUCUCUCCAUUAGCUCAUCAUCACUUUGCUUCACCAUAAUCCUUUUUGUUCUCUAUAGUUGACUCAUUCACCCAUGGCCAUCGGGGAGAUUCUUUUGAGUGCAUUCCUUCAGGUCUUAUUCGAAAAUUUGACUUCCCUCGGAUUGGGCUAUGCACAAAGGGAAGGAGCACCACCCUUCUUUGGAAUCAGCACUGACCUGCUUAAUAAGUGGAGGAAGAUGCUAAACACAAUCUAUGUGGUGCUGGAUGAUGCAGAGGACAAGCAACUGAGUGGUAAAGGUCUAGUGAAACUAUGGCUGGAUGAUGUUAGGGACUUGGCCUAUGAUAUGGAAGAUUUGCUUGAUGAAUUCGAGAUCGAAGCUACUCAAGCCAAGUCGAAGGGAAAAUCUAGCACAAUUAUAGAUCGUGUGAAGUUUUCUUUCUUUAGCCAACAUAAAUCCUCUGAAUCGAAUCCAAACCCAUGCUCUCUAAUGUCUAAAACAGUAGUACAGAAGAUCAAUAAUAGGUUGGAAGAGAUUGUCACCAGGAAGGCUGAUUUAAGCUUGAGAGAGUAUUAUGUGGACAGAUCAGACUACACCAACAAAAGGCUACCAAGCACAUCUCUACCUGAGCCUCGUUUUUAUGGCAGGAAGAAGGAAGAAGCAGAUAUACUUGAACUAUUGAUCGAUGAUGCCAAAAAUGGUGAUACCACCAUGAGCAUUGUCCCCAUAGUUGGGAUGGGUGGUGUUGGAAAGACGGCCUUGGCUCAACGGUUGUAUAAUGAUACAAGAGUGAGUAGCUAUUUUGAGAGGAGAGCAUGGGUUUGUGUAUCAGAUGUUUUUGAUGUUCUUGACAUAACAAAGACUAUUAUGCGGUCGAUUACGGGGUAUUCCUAUGAGGGCGAAGAUCUUAAUGGGCUUCAAGUUAAGUUGAAGGACAAUCUAACUAGGAAGAAGUUUCUUAUAGUUUUGGAUGAUGUAUGGAAUGAGAACUACGGAGAAUGGACUACCCUCUUAAAGCCAUUUGAAGUGGGGGCUAAGGGAAGCAAGGUCAUUGUCACGAAUCGCAAUCGUACUGUUGCUUCCACAACAGGAGCUUUGCCAUAUCUAUUGGAGGAGUUGUCCCUUGAUAAUUGUACAAGCUUGUUAGCCUUUCAUGCUCUUGGAGAAACAAAUUUCGAGAGGCACGUAGAUCUUGAAAUAAUUGGCAAGAAAAUAGCUGAAAAAUGUAAAGGUUCACCUUUGGCCACAAAGGUUUUGGGCGGUCUCCUACGUAAUAAAGGGAAUUCUGAUGAAUGGGAAGCUAUCUUAAAUAACAAAAUGUGGGAUCUUCCAAGUGGAGAAAAUGAUGAGGCUCUUCGAGUUUUGAAACUGAGCUAUGUCCAUCUUCCCUCUUAUUUAAAGAGAUGUUUUGCUUAUUGUGCAAUAUUUCCCAAGGAUUACGAAAUUGAGAGGGAUGAGUUGGUAUUUUUGUGGAUUUAAGAGGGCUUUUUAGAUGGACUAAAAGCAAAGGAGAAUAUCUUGAAAUUGGGACGAACUCAAUUCGAUGAGUUAGUUUCCAGAUCAUUUAUUCAACAAUCAAGUGUAAAUGCAUCCAAGUUUUCAAUGCACGAUCUUUUAAAUGAUCUAGCAAAAUCAAUUGCAGGCGGAACGUCCUUUAGCUAUGGGGAGUUUCAGCUAGUAGGUAAUGAAGAUGAUACAUCUCUUGAGAAAGCUCGUUAUGCAUCAUUUGCUUCUUGGAGUGCUACAUCAAAAUGUAUGAGGGCGUAUCACCGGAUGAAGGUACUAAGAAGUUUAAUGUUUUUGCAUAUUGGAUUUAGUUGGUAUGACAAGUUCCACAUUUCCAACAAGGUGCUGCACGACUUGCUAACAGAAUUGAAAUACUUGAGGGUGUUCUUAUUAUGUCAUUGUUCCAUUGUAGAGGUACCGAAUUGUGUUGGUGAUUUAAAACAUCUUCGAUACCUCAAUUUCUCAUACACAAACAUUGAAAGUUUGCCAGAGUCAAUUGUUGGCUUGUGCAAAUUACGAGCUUUGAUCUUAAGAGAUUGUCAGAAGCUUUCUACAGUGCCUUCAAGUAUCACAAAAUUGGUCAGCUUACAGGUUCUUGACAUUAGAGAUACAAAGAGUCUAAAAGAGAUUCCACUAGGUAUUAGUAAUUUGAAAAAUCUUACUAUAUUGUCCAAGUUUGUGGUUGGACAAGAGAAAGGGUCGCAAUUAAAGGAGUUAAAGAACUUGCCACAUCUUCAAGAAGAAUUAUUCAUAUCAGACUUGCAAAAGGUGGACGAAGUUAGGGAUGCAAUUGAUGCUAAUCUGUUUGAAAAGCGAGGCCUUAGAAACUUAUUCUUGCACUGGGGUGAAACUUUUGGAAAUCUACGGAAUGAUAAGCGUGAAGCACAAGUGCUUCACUCUUUGCGACCUCAUACUAAUCUUGAAAAUCUCACUAUCUCCAACUAUGGUGGUGCAAUAUUCCCAUCAUGGUUAAAUGGUCCAUCUUAUUCUAAGAUAGUGUCUUUGUGCUUGCGAGGCUGUCCUCAUGUUGGAUCGUUGCCCUCACUUGGAGAACUCCCUUCACUUAGAAAAUUAUCUCUUGAGGGUCUACAUGCAAUAAGCAUGAUCGGCUCUGAAUUUUAUGGAAGUAAAAGGCCUUUUUUAUCCUUAACAACUUUAAAGUUCGAAGAGAUGUUGGCAUGGAAGGAUUGGUCUCAUUAUUCCAACAACCAAGAAGAAGUCCCAUUCUCCUAUCUUAAGCAUCUUGUAAUCCGAAGCUGUCCUUCGUUAAUUGGGACAUUGCCUUGUCAACUUGAUCAUCUCAUAAAGCUUGAAAUUCAUUCAUGCCCGCUAUUGAAUAACUCAACAAAUGUGAUUUGUCUUCCAUCUCUCCGUGAGUUAUGCAUUGAGGAUUGUAGCAAGGAAAUCUUAAAGUGCUCGGUCAACCUAACAUCUUUAACCACUCUCAAAAUUGUUAACCUUGCAGAGUUUGUUUGCUUUGAUAAUGGGUCUAUGAGUUGCUUGGUCAAGCUAAAGGAGCUCCAUAUAGCACAAUGUGACAAGCUAGCAUACUUGUGGCAAGAUGGAAAUGAAACGCAAAAUCUUACUUGCCUUCAAAGUGUGGUCAUCGAAAGCUGUCCUCAAUUCACAUCUUUUGUGGCAGGAGAAGAAGAGAUAGAGCUACCUUGCAACCUGAAAAUAAUGCAUUUGAAGGAUUGCACAAGUUUAGAAAGGCUUCCAAGCAAGAUUCAAAAUACACUCAAAAUUCUGCGGAUUAUUAAUUGUCCAAAAAUCAUUAGAAUAACCAAUCAUCUGGAUGACCUCAAUAGCAAUAACCCAACACCUCAAUUGAUAUCUUUGUAUUUUUUUAAAUGCAUGAAUCUAAGAAGCCUAACACAAUGCCUUUAUAGGCUAGGCCAUCUCACCAAUUUGGAUAUAAGAUUCUGUCCAGCAUUGGAGAUAGAGUACUUCCCUCCUCUUCCCAUCUCCAUGUCACGUUCCAACUUUGUGAUGCCCGAAGANNNNNNNNNNNNNNNNNNNNNNNNNNNNNNNNNNNNNNNNNNNNNNNNNNNNNNNNNNNNNNNNNNNNNNNNNNNNNNNNNNNNNNNNNNNNNNNNNNNNCGAUUUGAUGAUUGCAAAUAUUAAAUGCUUGCCUGAAGGAGGUUUGCCUCCUAAUUUGCGGGGCCUUUCAAUUACGAGGUGUGAGAAUCUGAAGCAACCAUUGAGAGAAUGGGGCUUACCCCUGCUCACAUCCCUCACAUUUCUACAUAUUGACGGAAGAAGCAUGGGAGGGGAGGGAGAGGAGGCGUGGUUUCCUUCGGAGGACGAGGAUGCAUGGAGUAUUCUCUUUCCUUCCUCUCUAACCGGUCUUGACUUUAGUCAUAUGAGGAAGGUGGAAAGACUAUCAAGCGGUCUUUGCAACCAUCUCUCCUCUCUCACCAAAUUAUGGAUUAUGGAUUGCCCGAAGUUGAGGCACUUGCCAGACGAUGGCCUCCCUCCCUCCCUCCAACAAUUGUACAUUGAAGAAUGCGAGAUUUUGAAAGAUCAAUGCUCAAAGCUCACUGGCGACUAUUGGCCCCUCAUCCAAGAAAUCCCUCUCAUCAUCAUUGAUGGCAUUCAAAUCCAAUGAAUUGAUUCUUCUAUGUACAGUUAGUUUUCGAGGGUUCAAGUAAGCUUUUGGUUUUGAAGGCAUCAAUUUCCGUUCUGCUUACUCAAUUCGUUGUUGGGAAUGACUGAUCCCCAAAAUACCGGAUUUGACACUAAAUCGAACCCCUAAAUCAAUGCGGAAGACGAAGCCCGGGAAAAAACAACACGCAUCACCGAUCCUAAAGCACACCACGGAUUCGAGCGUACCUUUUAGCCACAGAUUAAACACCGACGUUGAUGGAGGAAGAGAAACUGAGCAAUUCGAUCCGAUGAAGCCUUGAAAGGAGGAAGAACAAGCCGUAUGCGUUACUGUUCUUUCUUUUUCUUUUUGAGAGAGAAUACGCGCGGGAGAGAGAAGACGUGAAUUCUGAUUUCACGUUAAUGACUUUCUCUCUCUCUCUCUUCCCUUUUAUACCUCCCUCUUUCCACGGGCCUUAUUCCCAUGGGCCGGGCUUUCUGGGCCCAACUUUGGCGGAUGGGCCUUAAGCCCAAAUCAAAUAAAGCCUUCAUCUCCCACUCGCACAUGGUGGUCCAAAACCAACAUGGGCGGACAGGCCCAUAGACUCUCUCUUAACAUGGUGGGCCGAACAGGAUUCUCUUCACCUCUCUUCAACAUUCAUACUGGUGAAUAAUCCGUGCGACCAGCAUACUUUGAGAGCUCGUUACUAUACAUCUGUUAGGAAUAUAUAGCAGCUCAUAAUGGGCGUCACACUCCGAGUAGAUUUAGUAUGCAGUACCCUAGAUCGAUCGAUCACAUUUAUAUCUCUCUUAAUCUCUUUUAAACAAUGAUAUAUAUUGUAUUCACAAUUAUAAUUAUCACAAAAACAAUCAUAAUUGGUCGACCGGUGAAUACAAAAACUACAAUGUGAUUCUCCAAAAUCGAUCUUCCUCUUUCCUUCAAACUCUCAAUUUCAGUCCAGCUUGCUUUUUCUAAAAAUGCCCCAUUAGAUCGAAUCAUCUCAUGACCAUUGGCAACACCCUAAGAUAGCAAACACUAAAUAGAAAUCUUGAGAAUAAGUAAGAGUCCUGAGGGGACUAAAAAAUUGAGGAACUCUUUUCCUCAAGAGUCUCACACGUCAUAAAAGUUGAGAUCAAACUUUUUGCCACUCUUAUUGGUCGUCUCAUGCAUACGUAGUAUGAAAUAUGUAUUACGGUAUUAACUCCUUUCCCAUGGAGCGUAUGUCUGCACUUUUCAAUACCGUACAGAUGAUAGUUCAGACAUACCUAAUGUCUAACUUGAGUUCACAUAUCUACUCAAUCACAAAAUUCAUAGAACUCACAUCUGGAUCGUAGACAGAUAAAGCAAAAUAUGUGGGGUAUUUUACUUUCGGACAUCGUAAGUAUUAUGUCCUCAUCUUAACACUUAGUUAAUGCGACAUACGUAUUUUAAGCUUGAGCUCUCGAUUAUCACCUAGAUAAUAAGCUUAAAAUCAGUCUCAUCUCUAUUUAUCACACAGUAAACAGAGGCGAUUACCCGUGUGAGUGGGCUAAUCUUUUAUCUGUCCGACAUACUUCUCAACUUAAAAUAAUACACUAAGUAUUAAGAUGCAUAAAGAUCAUACAAAGAUUCAUAGGCAUUAUGAUGAAAACACAAAUUCAUCAAAUUGUGAACACUCAGGGAAAUUAAAAAAAUUCAGUACAUCAGCCUCUACGCAAUCCUAGAGAUUUCAUAUAGCCACAAAACACAUCUCUAGGUAUUGGCUUUGUCAUAGGAUCUGCUACCAUUCUAUGCGUAGUAUGUACUAUAAGUUCACAUCUUUUCGUGCAAUCAUAUCCAUGACAAAAUUAUACUUGGUAUCUAGAUGUUUGGUCUUGCCAUGAUAUUUUGGAUCUUUGGUGUACGCUUUUGCUGCUUUGCUAUCAUAAUUAACCAACAAUUAAUCUGCAGCACUUCUAAUAACACCUAAAUGAUCCAAUAAUCUCUUAAGCCAAACAUCUUCUUUUAUUACUGCUGAUAAUGCCACGAACUCAGUUUUCAUCGUGGACAAGGCUAUACACUUUUGUUUCUUACUACUCCAACAUAUGGUGCCAUUAUUCGGUAAGAAAACAAACUCAGAGGUAGAUUUUCUUUCAUCUAAAUCUCCUCCCCAAUCUGUAUCACAAUAGCCUUUGAGUUGCAGAUCCUUUCCUUAAUAACUCAACGUAUAAUCAGCAGUCCCCUUUAGAUACCUUAGUAUUCUCUUAACAGCUUUCCAAUGUGCUUGACCUGGAUUGGAUUGGUAUCUGCUCACCAUUCCAACUGCAUAACAUAUGUCAGGUCUUGUACACAUCAUAGCGUACAUCAAGCUCCCAACAGCACUAGCAUGAGGAACAUAUUUCGUUUGUUCCUUCUCUUGUGGAGUCCUUGGACACAGUCUAUGGCUCAAUCCUUCACCUUUUGCAAUAGGAGUGUCUUUGGGUUUACUAUCCCAUAUCCUUCAAUUCAAAGUUGGAAGACAACCGACUUUUGACAAUAUUGACAGGCUCCAUAUUGCUUCCGGCAAUUGGUAUAUCAUCAACAUAUAAUGAUAUGAUCACAAAUUGAUCAUUGGAUCUUUUGAUAUAUACACAAUGAUCCUCACUAUCAUUGUAAAAUCAUAUGCCAUUAUGGUAUUAUGAAAUCGUAUAUACCAUUGUCUUGACGACUGCUUAAGGCCAUAUAUCGACCUCGAAAGUCGACAUACCUUUUCUUCUUGGCCUUUCACUAUGAAACCAGCAGAUUGUUCCAUAUAUGUUUCUUCCUCUAAUUCUCUAUUGAGGAAAGCAGUCCUCACAUCCAUUUGAUGUAACUCAAGAUCCAUACCAAACACUAUUGCCAGAAUUAUGCGAAUCAAGGUAAAUCACACUACAGGAGAGAAUGUAUCUUUAUCAUCAAUAUCUUCCUGUUGAUUAUACCCCUUCGCCACAAGGUAAGCCUUAUGCCUUUCUAUCGAGCCAUCAGCCUUUCGCUUUAUUUUGAGAACCCACUUGUUCCCAAUAGCUCUGCGUCCCUUUUGAAAGACCAACCAGUUCCCAGACUUGGUUUGAUUUCAUUGACUCUAUUUCCUCUUUCAUUGCAUAAAUCCAUUUUUCCUUACUAGGGUAUUUCAGAGCCUCAUUAAUAUUUCUUGGCUCAUCCUUAUCUCGUGGAGCAAUUAUAAAAGUUUCCCCUUCAAUGUCAAAACGUCGACGGGGAAUACUUUGACGACUUGUUCGCUAUAUGGGAGAUUGUACACUUAGCACAUCAUUUCCCAUUAUGCUCCCACUCGGAUUAGAUAAUGACGAUAUCAUCUCAUCUUGUGGUUGUAAUUAAGAAUGAGUUGAAUUCAAUUCAUCACUUCUCAUAUUACUCCCACUUGGACGAACUCCACUAAUAUCAUUAUCUUGAUCCAAGGUUUCAAAUAGGGAGUAAUAUUCCCCUAUUUCGCCCUUCUUAGGAAAUUCAUCCACUAAGAAUGUGAUAUCCCGUGAUUCAAAUUUAGUUAUACUCCCACUUUCCUGCUCACCUACGAACACAUACCCUUUCGAGUGUUCGGAGUAUCUCAUGAAAAUACUCUUCUUUCAUUUGGGACCAUAUUUUCUAAAUUUGUGAGAGGAUUCAUUAUAGGCAGCACAACCCCAUGACUUAAGAAAACUUAAGUCCGGUUUUCUACAUGUCCAUAACUCAUAUGGAGUGGAACUAACUGAUUUGGAAGGCACUCGGUUAAGUAUAUAGGCAGCAGUUAACAACGCAUCACUCCAAAAAAGUGAUAUGUAAGUUAGCAUGCGCCAUCAUGGACCUAACCAUUUCCAGUAGGGUUCUGUUUAUUCUCUCUGCAACACCAUUUUGUUGAGGAGUAUUUGGAAUAGACAACUGUCUUUCUAUUCCUUUUUCAUCACAUAAUUUUCUGAACUUAUCAGAUAAAUAUUCUCGACCUCGAUCAGAUCUCAAUGCUUUUAUUUUCUUGUCUAAUUGAUUUUCAACCAAGUUCAUAAAUCUUUUGAAACAACUUAUGCUUCAGAUUUAUGAGAAAUCAAAUAGACACAUCCGAAUCGAGUAUAAUCAUCUAUUAAAAGUGAUGAAGUAAACAGUCACAUGCCUUCCUCUCACAUUCAUUGAACCACAAACGUCAUAAUGGAUUAAAUGCAGAGGAACGUCAGCUCUUUUACCUUUUCCAAAUGGUUUCCUUGUCGUUUUUCCCUUCUAAGCAAUGCUUACAUAUGGACAAAUCGACUUAUUCAAUAUUGCCCAACAAGCCCUUUUUGGCAAGUCUAUUCAUAUGUUGUUGGCCAAUAUGACCAAGUCUAGCAUGCCACACAUUCACAUCAUUAUCACAUGAAGUAAAAGACGUGAAACAAGGGAAUAACAUAUUGACAUCACCACAGUCAACAUUCAGUACAAUGAAACCAUCCAGAAAGUGACCACAACCAUAGCAGUUUGUAUCUAAACACAAAUCUACACCUAUAUUAUGGAAGUUCAUAUAAAAAAAAACAAGUUUAACCAACACCAAAAAACAGACGUUAAAUUUCGACGAAUCUCUAGAGCAUAUGGAACGUCAUGUAGGAACAAGAUGCGUCCACCACGCAUGUUCAAUUGGCAGGUGCCAAUCCCUUUAACUUCAUUUCUGGAGUUAUAUCCCGCAUAGAUCCACUUAGUUCCAGUCGGUAUCGUCGGAAUUCCACGAAGGAUUCUCUAUCCUUCGCUACAUGGUCUGUCUUUCCUGAAUCUACAGUCCACAAAGGAUUGAAUUCAGCCAAUAAUUCAGAACUUGACACAUAAUCAAAGUUCUCAAAUGUACAAGAGGUGUUUACCUUCUUUGGCUCACAACAGUCGCGAGCAUAGUGACCCUUCUUGUCACAAUUGUAACACCUCACCCUUGACAUUUUCUUCACUUGAGGACGUUUUCCUCACUUGUGUUGGUUAACUCUUGAUCUCUUGCAAUAAGGACUUGAUCCUUUGCUUUUCCACAUAUUGAACGAAUCAAUACGUUUGCGCUUAGAGCUCAAAGCCCUUUCUGAGCUAGAACCAGCAUAGCCAAUGUCUAUUUUCGGCUCAAAUGCCAAUAGGCAGUCCUCUACUAGCUUAAGGUGGCGCACAACAUCCUCUAGAUCUUCCAUAAUAUGGUCAAGAGCUUCUAGUGCUUCUAGCUUUUCCAGCACAUAUUGAAUCUUCGUAUUCAAUAUUCCACAAUCGUUGCCGUUCAUAUUAGCAAUUAUGUUCUUAGUUGCUGAAACCAUCGAUCUGAACACAUCAGACUUAUAUGCACGAAUUAUUAAUGCCUAUCAUUUAUGCAUCCUUAUUUACAUAGACCCAUCAUAUUAAUGAAUAAUUUCAAGUAAGGUUUCAGAAUCAAAAGGUCACUAUGUUUCCAAUCAUCCUCCAAAAUCCUAACUUAAAACUAUCAUCAAUAUAAUUGUCUUAUGCAAAAUCAAUUCUAUGAAGCUACAAAAACUUCUAAAACUACCCACAGCUAAUUACCCACAGCAACCAGCAAUAACAGAAAGCAAUAUAUAAUAGAACAUCCAAUAAAAAACAAUAAUGCUUUCAAUUAACACAAUUAGGUAGUAAUCAUUACAUAAUAUGUCCACAAAUCACACUUAACAUAUAUCAGCCAAUACAACUAACACCAAGUCAACACACGAACUGGGAAAGAUCCUCUUUUGUUCAAUUUCUUGAUCUUUUCCCUUGAAACAAUACAAUAAUAUUCAUUUACAAAAUCCAUCACAAUUUUCUUAUAGGAAGCAGCUCCGUUGACAUCCCAUAUGCGAUUCAACACAUCUUGCCAUUCAGGUGGAAGAGUCUUUAUGAAAAAUCGCACCAUCUCUGACUGUGACAUAGGACGACCAUUCCAUACGACCUGUUGAAUUUUCCCGUUGACUUCAAGGACAUGAUCAAUUAAGUCACCUCUCUCCCAUCGAUGAUCAGUCAGCUCAGCUAUCAUCUUAGACAGCCUAUCCUUUUGUUCAUCGGUAAUUGCGCGAAUAGGUGUGCGCAACCUCAAGGGAGGCAUUGUUCCUGCAACAAAUGCAGAACAAAUAAGGGAUCACAUUAUAAUCCACAUAGACUUAAUUGAAAAAGAAACAUAUUCUUUUUUUUUCGGGUCAACGGUCAAAGUCAACGGUCAACGGUCGUCGGUCAACGGUGGUCACCGGUCAACGGAGUUCAACGGUCAACGGAGGUCACCGGUCGUCGGUUGUCGCACCGGUCGGGUCGGACAGACCGGUCCGACCGGUCGGGCCGGUGGGCCCAGUUCGCGCGAACCGACGGCACGUGCCGUGCGUGUGCGCGGGAUGACGUCACGCAGACGUCAUCCGGCACGUGCUGCACGCGUGCCGGGUCUCGCGCGGGUCGGGUCGCCGGCCGGUGACCGUCCGACGAAGCUGACGUCAUCGAUGACGUCACCCUAGCGGUUAUUGACCGUUAGGUGACGUCAUGCUGACGUCAGCACGCGUCGGUCCGCGGACCGGCACGUGCCGGCUCGCCGGCCGGCGGUGCGCACGCGCCGGUUCGUCACCGGCGCGUGUGCCGCACGCGCUGGGCGACGCAACGCUUCUGAGCGCGUCGCGCCCACGCGCAGCGGCUUCUGGCCGCGUGCGGCGUCGCCCGGCGGCGCACGACGUACCUCCAGACUCGUCUCGACGUCGCCUUUCUCCCCAUCUUGUUAGAAAACAGUUUCGACAUACGAAAACUCAGUAAAAAGGCAUUAGAACGCUCGGGUGUCGGGAUUUUUGUCCCGAUCUGUACGGCCGAAAGUUUCUUCGCGAAAAGUCAAUCAAAGAACAUGAAAUUGAUCGGGAAAACGUGAACUAGGGCUCUGAUACCAAUGUUGGGAAUGACUGAUCCCCGAAAUACCGGAUUCGACACUAAAUCGAACCCCUAAAUCAAUGCGGAAGACGAAGCCCAGGAAAAAACAACACGCAUCACCGAUCCUAAAGCACACCACGGAUUCGAGCGUACCUUUUAGCCACAGAUUAAACACCGACGUUGAUGGAGGAAGAGAAACUGAGCAAUUCGAUCCGAUGAAGCCUUGAAAGGAGGAAGAACAAGCCGUAUGCGUUACUGUUCUUUCUUUUUCUUUUUGAGAGAGAAUACGCGCGGGAGAGAGAAGACGUGAAUUCUGAUUUCAUGUUAAUGACUUUCUCUCUCUCUCUUCCCUUUUAUACCUCCCUCUUUCCACGGGCCUUAUUCCCGUGGGCCGGGCUUUCUGGGCCCAACUUUGGCGGAUGGGCCUUAAGCCCAAAUCAAAUAAAGCCUUCAGUUGCUUAAUAUGAACUCAUUUUUCCCAUUACUUUUUAGAUUAAUCUAUGUAAACCAGCCAUUGGAGGUCAAAGACUGACAUUUGCGUGGGUGUUCUCAUUGGAAUGGAUCGGCUCUGUUUCGUUGAAUAAUAAAGUGCAGGACAAAAUGCUUACGGUGCUGCCUCUUGCUAUAUAAAUGACAUAUCUUUGACUCUGCUUGAUGCCCAAAAAGUUUGCUUAUUUUGCACUCGAGCAACCCACCAAACAAAUUGUGAAUGAAAGUGCACUAUGCUUUGCAUGAAAAUCACCAAGAAUCAUAACGUUCCACAAUCAUAUUCCCCUGCAUUUUCAGCAUUUGUUGUGUGUUCUCUUCCCAACAUCUUCUUUUGUUCUAGCUCAUUCACUGUGGUUGUUUUGCAGAUACCAUUAUGAUAUGUGUUGGCAAAAUCUCUUGAAAGGAUCACUUGCAAAUGUUGUUGAGGUAGGGCUAAAGCUGUCAAUGUUAUGUGCCAAAUUUUGCAACUCGAAAGAAAGAAAAGAAGUGUUGGAUUUUAUUUGGUGCGCUAAUAUGUUCUAUAUGUUCUUCUAGUGAAAACUAAAAGGAUGAUUAGUUAUGGGAGGCUGUGAUCUGAUUGUAAAGAAAGGAAAUGCAGUUUCUUUUUUUCUUAAUGGUUUUCUUUAGAAUUGAGAACCUUCUUUUUGUCAAUAAUUAUGCUUUGCAGUAUCAGGCAGUCAAUCUGGAAUAAAAUUCUGGGGCAGCCCAUUGCUCGAAGCUUUCAACACAACUCCACUUCACAACAGCAUUGAUAUUCCGUAAAUCUCCUUCUGUUUGGGUCUUCAUCUUGGGUGGGUUAGUAACUAUUACUUGUAGCUUGCUAGAAAUUUUUAGUCAAUAUACUUGUGCUUGUUUGGUUGAGAUUGUAAUGAUAUGCUGCUUGCCUCUGUGUUUGAAUUGUCAGUAGUGACUUUUGAGGCAAAUCUAUUCGGUUCUUCAAAGUAUCAAUUGUUUUCUCUUACUCCACCACAGAGUAUGAAUUCAUCGUAAAUUAUGUCAUUUUAUCUGAAAAUAACUUCGUAUGGCAUUCUUCCUGUGGAGAGUUCCCGAGCAAAAGCUUCGAUUUCACUUGGGUUCCUUUGGGGUAACUAGAAAUCUUGUGCUUCAACCAAUUUAUACCUUGUUUGAUGGAUCUCCUCCCUCUCUGCCACUAUGGCAUAUGCCGAAACAUUUGUUGAAGCAAUUUUAGCAUGACAUUGUAAAGCUCUAAUAGAGGUUAGUCAAUUUGUAAUAUGAAUUGUAGUUCACUUUGUACUUUCUCUGAGGCCUUUUGGAUGUUAUUGCAUGUAUAACAUGGUGCUUUGACCAUAUGAAUAGGUGGUCAGAAAAUUAGAGUUGCAUUUGCCAGGAUAACUUUCAAGAAACCUCACAUACUUUUGCUUGACAAGCCAUCCAAUUAUCUGGUAAGUUUUACUCAUUUUUCUCUGCCUUAUGAUUUUAAUUAGUUUUUCAGUUAGUUAUUAAUGUUCUUGCACUAAUUGAACUUAUUGGAAUGUGGUCUUUACAUUGAAAAUAAGUUAGAACCAAUGAGUGCUCAUAGCUACAGGGAGCCUCUGUCAUCAUAAAUCUAAGUCAUAAUUAACGAAACCAAUCUAAUUGUUCCAACUUGGAAAAUAUUGGGAAUAGAACAGUCAUGCUAGCCUGAUCAGUUUUUUAGUAUUGGAGUAAUCUAUAACACAAAAUAGUUCUGAUAUCUGUCCCUAUAGGUACUAGUGGGCUCUGCAUAUAAUUAAUGUGUUCCUCUUUUUGUUUAUAAAUGUGGUCUUCAAGUUCUGCUUUAAUGAUCAAUGAUUACUACAGUAUAAUCUUUGUAAGUUGUUUGUUUCUUCUCUAAGGAUGAGUGAGUAUGAUUCUGCAUUGUUGCACACCAACAACUGUAGGAUUUGGAUGCGGUUGAGGCACUCAUUCAAGGUCUGGUCUGUUCCAAGGAGGAAUUCUGAUGGUGAGAUUGAUAUUCUUGUCAAAAUACUUCAAUUUGACCAAUGAUGGAUCAUUUUCACAGCUAAUAGCCCCCCUCUUUCACCUUGAUAUGCAGGUUAGUCACAAUGAGCAUCUAAUAACUGGAAGCUUGGAUGAUGUCUGGAUGGUUUCUCAAGGCAAGGUAGCGCCUUUCCAUCGGAAUUUGGAGGACUAUAGGAAGAUAUUUUAGUUUUGGUCGAAUCAGAUGAAUCUGGUUAUCGUUAUCAACUAAGAAUGGUUCACCGGGUUCACAUUACCUUACAAACCGAAAAUGAGGCUUAGCUAUAGAGAGAAAGGGAAAAAAGACAAAAAGAGGAUUGCUGCGGAUAUACAGGAAGGAUUCACAGUUACACGAGCCCAUGUUUGUAAUUUAUACUUGAUUAGGGUUCGUGGAGGGAUGAAUCUAAGUUUUUGACAUUAAGCAUGCAGCAUCAUCUGGCAAUAGCUCAAGAACUGAGUUGGGAUUGCAGUCGUGGUAUGAUUUACAACCCUUUGCGCAUUUUUCCCUCGCAAUGGAUCAUUUGUUGUGCCCCUGGAAGUUUUAUACUCUGUCACCGCAGAAGGCAGCUUUCUAUACACAGUAGAAUGAUUUAAACAUUUGCAAAAGAACCAUGUUAGCACAGUACAUUAUUUUGUAGGAGAGUGAGAGUAGUUUCCAAGAAAUUAGUUGUAUUAAUAUAUUUUUGUUGUUCGGCACUAUUUAGGAAAGUUAAUUACGAAAAUAUAAUCAUGGUCAACAAAAACUUUGUACAAAUACCGUUGGCCUUGCCUAGGCAGAAAAUGCUAUAAUGAAACUCUGUACAAAUACCUGAAUUUGUUAGAUAACGUUCUGGUCAAUAUUCAAAAUAAGAAGUUUUCUUUCUUCCAACUGCUACGAUGCACAUGGAAGAACGGCACCGAAAACAGAGGGUUUUGAAUAUGCUAAUGUAACAACUAAAUUCUGAAUGAGCCGUGCAGGUCAAAACCUAUUUCACAAACUGGUUGCCUGGUCAAAGAUUAAAGUUCAUCUUUCUUUUAUUUAAAUACCCACUCCAUCUCUUGGCAACAUUUUUAGCGGUCCUACAUCUUAUAUUUCCUGGGCAGGAGGGGAAACAGGAGGGAGAUCUAUAGGUGUGGCUACACUCUGGAUUUUACUUUGAGGAUUUGCGUCCGCUAUGAGAUAAUCUUAUUCCAAGAAGAUCGUCACAUAGCACCAGUAAUGACCAAUUCCCUGAAGUAGGCAAGCCCCAUUACAAUUUCCCUCAUUAAGGUGCCAAAGGUCCAGAACCAUUCACAUGCAAAGAGAUACGCGCACUACCAUUGCAAAUGGUUUCAAUCUCGUGAGCUCCCAUGUUGAACUUAUAUCUUGAGUUGGAGCAGAUGAAGGAAAUUUGAUCCGGAAAGGAAGUGUGCUUCUAUGGCUUCAUGAUAUACGACAUUGAGGAAUGUUGUUACAUGAGUUCUAUUAUUGGACACUUCUGUUACAUGAUAAAAGUUAUUGCCAGCUACAUGACCUUUGUGCCAUAACAAUCAUUUUCAUGUCAAGGAGCAAAAACUGUUUUCUACUUCUUCAUCAUCGGAACCUGCUUGAGACAUUGUCUCACGAACUAUUUUCAGCAGUCUUUUGAUCUGAAGCUGCCGCAAGUUGAGCUUGAUGUUGACUUUUGUUGAGGAAAAAUUGAGUUUGCUCUGGUAGUCUGCGACUUUGACUGAGUAGGAUUUGCAGCGAACCAUAAACGCUUCUUCGUUUGCAAAUUACGGGGCAAAUUUUGCCCACCAUUUAAUUUUUCAAUUGUCUUUUAAGCGUAGAGAAUGUCACGGUCUAUUGCACAUUAUCUAACAUGUGAACAAUCAUCUCCAUCUCUUAGAAGUAUCUAACAUGUAAAGAUGAGGAGGUUCUUGAACAUUUCGAGUGAACUAAUUAUCUCCAUUUGAAAACUCUGGAGGUAAAAUAUGAGAACCUGGACCAAAUUAGAGUAAACCAGCCUUGGAACCAAAUAGGACUCGUUUCCAGAAAUUUUUUUAUCAAAGAAGAAGAAACAUAAAUGAUCAAAAAAAUUUCUGACUUGAAAAGUUAUACCAUGUUUGCAUAUAAUCGUAGUAACUAUAUGAUUGAGGCUUACAUGAAUUCAUAAAAAGUUCUGAUUUUAAGAGGAUGAUCUGUAAUAUAAUGAAAAUCUGGAGGGAUGUGACCCAACAUUAUUUUUAUGACCGAGUUUUUAAAAGUUCAUCUAGGAUUUUGUUUGUUCGGAGAAAAAUAUUUUAAUCAAAAAUUAUUAUUUUCAUCUUUCACUAUAUAGAGGGGUAAAAAAUGCUUGUCAAAGGAAAUUACUUCGGUCAAUCAGAAAAUCAAAUCAUAUAUAUAUAUAUAUAUAUAUAUAUAUAUAUAUAUAUAUAUAAACAACCUUUUAAUUUUAAAAGUCGAAGUACAAAAAUAGCAUGGACACAAGAAUCUAAGCCGAACUAUUUUAGGCAAAAAUAAAUAAAUAAUGGAGUUCCUCUGGUUUGCUGUCACAAGAAGUUGCCGCCGGAUAUAGUGGUGAUUCCUUGAUUUACAUGAGGGGGAUCACCACUCAGAUGAUUUUCCUUUUUGUUAUUAUGUAUAAAAUCUUUUGAUUGAUUAGUUGAGGCGAUAUUGAACUCACUAAAUUAAGACCAACUUGACCAUAUAUAAACCCAUGUCAACUUGUUUAAGAUUAGUAGGGGAUAAGAAUGUCGAAUGAAAGAGAAAAUCAACGUCGGUUCAGUUGAUUUGAGAAAAGUAAGAACGUCGUUUCAAGUUGUAUGUCUACAAGACUAGAGUAUGUUUUCUUCGCAAAAGAUAGUAUAAAAGUUCGCUCCGAACUUUGCUCGUUUGAAUCAAUUUUUACAUGACUUUCCAGAUGAUUUUACCAUUUAUGAUUAACUUGUUCAUCCUGAAUUUGUUACACCAUAGAUGAUAAAUCGAUGAAGCUCCACUACUACCUAAUAUCAGUUCACUUGUUUCCUAAAAUGGACUCGUUUGAUUUAGUCGAGUCUAAAUAAUAUUUUCUCAUUCUUUUAAUAAACAAAGUACGUAUCUUUUCAUGAUUUACUAGUUUGUUAUUCAGAAAGGGACAGACUGAAUGUUUCGCUAUUUACCUACUUUCCCCCUUUUUCUGGACUAGUAAUGGAUCAGUUGCUCCAUUUGGUUUUUCUUUUGGUCUUACUUACCCAGCCGGUUGCCUUAUCUUGGUGUAAGAUAAUUGUGGUUCAGAGGUUCAAUCCGAUCAAGCUGCGGCAAAUUCCGAUUGCACACUGUCGAUUCUCAAGGUAUCACAAUGUCUUUUCGUUAAAUUUUUGUUGGUGAUAUUAUUUGUUUGUCGAUUGGCUGCUGUUUUUGUGUCGAUGAAUGAGUUGAAGAAGAACUAGUUCGAGAGAUAAGUCCCCGUUUUAGCUAUUAGCAUCAUUUUUCGGAUAAAGUUGGUUAGGAUCACCGAGUUUAUUUGAUGAGUGGACAUAAAGCUGAUUUAUGCCUGCUUAACAUCGUCUGCUUAGCUGGCCAAGCCCCUUUCGUUGUGCUUUUUGAGUCGUUGAAUCGAAUUUCAAAAGGUUCGCUGGAUUUUUUUUAUUUAUUUCGAUACUCGUUUCUUUUCUGGCUGGAUACUGCUCAACUAAAUCUGUCCUAAGGAGCAAAAUUAGCAUUUGCAGAGUGAAUUGGGAAUUGGUUUUAGCCUAUAUCUCUCUCAUUUUCAUCGAUUUGAAGUUCCCCUCUUUUCGAACUUGCCUGUUCUAUCUAGCUUGACUCUGAUGGGAUUUUGUUAUCUUUAACACCAAAGCUGCUAGUGGUUCAUCAUACGCUAAAUCAUUUGUAAACAUAGGAAGCAUGAUGAAGAUAAUUCAACGAUACAAUACGAUAUCCUUGAAGUUUUUCUAGUUUCUUUAGCUAUACGGCUCUAUGUUUUGUUUGUUUACCGACUAAGACGGUUCUUAAAUUGGUGGUUGACACCUCUCACUGAGAAUCCAAAUCAUAUGCUAAUUAAGGGCAUUUCCAUCAUUUUGUUUGCUUGAUCUAGGCGUGGAUGGUGAGGACAUAACCAAUUUUGACUGUGCUUUCGUCCAGAAGAUUAUCAGCAUGAUGUUCACCUACUUGAGACUAAGGGAUAAGGUGGUCCUUCUUCUAUUGAGUGGCAAAAAUUUAUCUUUCUUGCAUAAUGAGAUGAUAUAAAUGUCACAACAGAUUGCUCUUGCGCCAAUGGUCGAGCCCCUUCGGCUAUGUAUUUCUAAAAGAAAUGACUGGAGAGUGAUUUUCCUUUUUGGAGUCAUCAUGGCUGUUAGAGAAAUUAACUCUAAUUCUGUGAUUUUUUUUUUCUGAUGUUAGGAGUGAUUCUAUUUGUUUUAUGAGAUUGGUUAGAAGCGUAGCUGUAUGUUUUUGUAGUUGUUACUAUAAUUAGCUCGAGAGGUGUUCGUUAGAAUGUCCUAGAAAAACUUGAGUUGAAUAGCUUUUGGGAUAAUCAUCUUUUAUACACACACACUUUUGUACAAAGUGGAGGUGUGAGAUUUUAUCUCUUCAUUUUUUCUAAUUCUUUGCUUAUUUGAGUUCUUCACUACGUUCAUCUUGGGUAUAAUGUUUAUCAUUUCAACUUGCUCAAAAAAAAAAAAAAAAACUUGCUCGAUAUCUUUUUUGUGUAAUUCUAAUAAUUAGUUGUCUUAGUGCUUAUAAAAAAAAAAAAAAAACAAGCUUUCUAAUCAUUGUUUACAGAUUUGGGACCUUAUAGCAUCUCCUUGGAAAUUUGAAUUCAAUGAAAAUGCAUUUAAAAUUUGAUAAUAUAGCAUGAAAAUUCCUUAUAUGACGUGAAUAAAGUAUGUCUCUUUAGGCAAAUUUUUCUUUUCAAACAAUGAAAAGUAACAUCCUGUUCAUUUUCAUAUUUCAGCCCAAACGUCACAAAUGUUGCUAUUUUCCUGGUUGACAUCUGAAUUUUCUCCAAUAAAUUUAACAUACAUUCGUCUAAAAAUUCAAAUAUAUAAAAGAAAAAAAAUAAGUUCAAAUUAAAAAACAAGAGAGAGAAAAUAAAAUGGUAAAAACUCAAGCUCACCAGAGGAGGUUCAUAGAUCUUGUCCAAUUUGCGCAACCCAAUUCGGCCCAAAACUCAUCAAAUACGUAAAGCCCGCUCAUCAGCCACACCAAGAGGCCCAUCAGCCCAAAGCCCACGAAAGGAAUCAAGUUCGGCCAUUUCUUUUGGCUUUUCCUCUCUCUCUCUCUCUCUCUCUCUCUCACCUUCGGAAGCCCCAAAGGUCACGCAGAGGAAGGGGUUAAGGGAAUUGAUCCUUCGCUGGUUUUAAUAUCCUGCAUCUCCGCCGCGUCGCAUUGGCUUCUCCGGUCUUCAUUACUGGAAAAUCUACUAUGUGCUCGUUCAUACCCCUGAACUGUAUUGAUAUGCAUGUUUGAGGACUGUUUCUUCAUUUAAGAUAUCCCAUUGUGUAGUGCGUACUUGAGCUGCGACAUUCUUCAGCAUACUUGUCAAUUUACUUUCUUCAGUUGGUUCAAUGCAAGUAUGUAUAACCGUCAAGUCUCUCAACACGCUGUGCUGACCAACAAUUUAGAGAAGUUGCGCGUGGAUUUGCUGUAACCAGCUUAUACUCAACCGGUAAUGUUAAGCUCAUUGAUGUUUAGAGCGUAUGUGCUAUUUUAGAACUGAACGCGUCAAUGGAUUGCAAAGUAUACAAUGGUCGUAGUUUGUCUGCCGCUGCUUUGUCGAUCAUGCGGCCACAGGAAAUCCACUCUUAUAGAUUCAAGCAGUAUGCAGAAAGCUUGCACUAUACUUUGCUCUCAGCAAAGGCGGCCAUUAAGCUCCACGAAAGUGCUCCCAGAAGACCUGGUAAAACCAAAGUAAUGAUCUUCUUCAGUAACCAAAAAGUGGGACGGAGUCACCGCAACAGCCAUCUAGUUCGUGAAUAAUGUCCCUACAAAUGAAAGUAAAUGCGAUUUUUUACGUGAAAAAAACGCCGUCCAUAAAAACAAGAUAAAAAUAAAGAGAAAAUGUACCGGGUAAUUCCGUAUAGAGGUUUGAUGAGCCGUGAUAACUGGUAACGCAGAAGAACCAGAUAUCAUAUCACGGCUGCCUAGUCCAGCGCAAACGGAUCGCUAGUCCUGUUAAGUAUCAGAGCAAACGGAAGCUGAUCAGCGCAAACAGAUUGUUAGAUCUAAUUUUCCAUUAAGAAAACCUUCGAUCUAGAUGCCAAUCAUCUUUCGAAUAAAAAUGUAUGAAGGGCCCAAGACACCUUGAACAACAUAAAUCAUCGCAACUGCAACUUUGUCCGGGGACAAGUUAACCCCGAAAAACUCUACUGAGCUUGUAUAGUUCUUUUCUUCCGAAGAAGAUUUUUUCUGGAAGUGGCUGUUUCUUCGUCAGUGUUUGUCGUCAACGUAUCCCCGUUCCUACACCUAAAUUACUAAUGGAAAAGGAUAAGGAAACACGGCAUCAGAUCAGCAGUGGCAUUAGGGAAGCAGCAUCAAGUUUUGUGGAUACAUGUUAGAGAAAAGACAUGUUCGUGAGUAAAAUCUAACAGCUGCCAAAACGAACAAAAAAAGAAAAAAAAAAAAAAAAAAGCCACUUCAGAUCGGUGACCUUGACAGAGAAGUCUGCUUCGACAUAGGUUGUAAAGUUGCAUCAAAUAUACAAGUCGACUCUUUUUUCAUGUUCGAAAAGAUUGAGUGACAAGCUUGCGCUCAAUUCCACGCAACCAAGAAGCAGCACAUAUUUGGCCGAUAAAAUUCGAUAUUUCAGCAGGUUUUUUACUUCGCUCGAGCAGUAUUUUCCGUUGCUCGAAGAAUACUCUCGUCUCUAUUUGUGGAACUUCAACUAGAUUAGACAGGUGAUAGAUCAGCUCAAAUUAUAUCAGAGACGUGCAUGAGCAAAGACGAUCGGCCAGGAGCACCAAUAUCCAGCAGAGUGAAUUGAAUUAUAACCAUCACCACUUAAACCAGUUAAACGAGCAACAACUACAUUGCCAAUGUCACGUAAGUGGGUACUUAACAAUCAUCCUAAAUUCAGGCAUAAAUUCCCCAAAAGGAAAACAAAUAUUUCACCAAAGAACAAAAGGCUAUUAUUAUUAUCCACAGUUGGGGUAAAUCGGUGAGAAUAACCAUCGGAGACUGAAAAAUUUUGACGCAAUAAAAAGUUAACGAUUCUGGAAUUCGGAAGCCAAUCACGAUCCUCUUUGAAAUGGCAAGGCGCCGCCGACAUCAGGACGGCAGCGGCAUGCGGUUGCCCAGUGGCUCCGGUGGACUUUUCCGGGGAGCACGUCUCCGGGAACCGAGCGUCGAGGUUCGACGACGUCCUGCGAGAUGGAGGACAAAGGUAGAAUCUUCGGGGAUCGGCAGUUCGAAGAACGAGAUGGUUGUUAGGAAUUUUAUCUUGUCGCCUUUUGGAUGGUUGGAUUGAUUGAACUGCCCUCCUCGCGUGGGAUUAUUCAUGGGCGGACCUUGGUUGUCACUGUAUUGAUUAAAUCACCUUUACCAAUGCAAUUUUCAUAACCGAAAAAUCGUGGCAAUGAAACAUUUCAUAGCUAAAAAAGUACAAAUUCUUUUUUGGCCACCAUUGUAGCCACGGUUUUUUUUUUUUUUAGUGACCCAAGAACCGCUGUACAGCCGACAGCCGACGACGUAAAUUCGGGGCGGUGCCGCAGGGACCCACCUCCCAUGACGUCACAGGUUAGGCGAGCAAUGCGCACGCCGGGACUCGAACCUCCCCCCUUCCGCAAUUAGAGGGGGAAAGGCCCAAGCCAGCACACCCACAAGCGGGUGGGUGUAGCCACGAAAGUUUUCGUUUAUAUUUUCGAAAGAAAUUUGGUUAGGAUCACCUAGUUCAAUUGAUAAAUUGGUCUCAAUUCAGUCCUAAACCUUUUGAUAGUACUAAUUUAAUCAUAAAUCUUUUGAAUUUGUGCUAAUUUUGUCUUAAACUUUUUGAACUAUUGCUAAUUUAAUUCUAAACGUUUUGACUUGAUGUUAAUUCAGUUCUUCUAGUUAAUUUUGAUUGUAUAUUGCUGACAAGGAUGCUGGCCAGCUUACGUGGCAUUGUCGAUGCUGAUAUAGAUAAUCUUUAAUAAUAUUUCAAUAUUUUUCAAUUUUUUUUGUUCCUUUUUACUAUUUUUUCUUCUUCUUCCUUUUCCCAAUGACUGGCCACUGGCCACGGUUGAACAAGCUAGCCUCACCUGGUCAUGGCGAGGCCGAGUCUCGACGAGGGUCGACCUCACUGGAUUUGGCUUAGGCAAGGCCGACCUUCCCUAAGCGUCACCUUCGCCCGUGUUUUCUUCUAGAAGAUUAUCAGCACGAUGUGCACCUAUUUGAGACUAAGGGAUAAGCUGGCCAUUCUUCUAUUGAAUGGAAAAAGUUGAUCUUUCUUGCAUAAUGAGAUGAGAGAACUGUUACCACAGAUUACUCUAGCACCGAUCUGCGAGCUCCUUGGGUUCUGUAUCGCUAAAAGAAUUGAUUGGAGAAUGAUUUUCCCUUUCAAAGUCAUCAUGGUUGUUAGAGAAAUUAAGUCUGAUUCCGUGAUUUUUGAUUUUCUGAUGUUAGGGGUGAUUCAAUUUGUUUUGAGAUUGAUUCUAUGAAGAUGGCAAGAAUCGCAGUUAUAUGGAUUCGUAGUAGUUGCUAUAAUUAGCCUGGUUGGUGUUCGUUAAAAUUUCCUAGGGAAAUUUGAGUUGAUUGUCACACUGGACAAUCAUCUUUUGUGAAUGAUAAAUGUGUCUUCACUUUUGUGCAACGUGCAGGUGUGAGAUUUUAUCUCUUCAUUUUCUAUAGUCCUCUGCUCAAGUUAUUUUGGGCAGUUCCAAUAAUCAGCUUAAGUAAGCUGUCAUUGUGUUUGGUAAGCUUUCCUAGUAUUUGCUUUACAAAUUUGGUACCUUACAGCGUGUUAUGAAAAUUGAAUUCCAUAAAAUUGUAUUUAAAGUUGAUUAUAUAACAUGCAUAUCCCUUAUAUUGCACGAAUAAAGAAUGUCCAAGUUUUCCUUUUUUAACAAUGGAAAAUAAUUUCUAAUACGGUUCCAAGUUUUAGCCAAACAUCAGGAAAUAUUAUCAUUUUCUCAAUUGACACCUGAAUUUUCGCUGAUAAACCCAGCACACAUUUGUGUAGAAAAUAUAAUCGUAGUUAAGAACAAAAAUAAAAUAAAUAAUUACAAAUGAAAAAGAGAGAAUAAAAUGGUAAAAGUCAAGCUCGCCAGAUGAAAGUCAUCAAUCUAGUCGAAUCCGUGCAACCGCUUCGGCCCAAAACUCAUCAAAUAGGUAAAAGCCCGCCAGUCCACACUUCGCACAGGCCCAGAGUCACAAGUCUGAGCUGAAGGAACCAAGCCCACAGAGGAUUUGCGUUUUCUCCCUCUCUCGCCCGAAGCUCCAUCUCCACCAUUCGAGUUUCACAAUGGCCGAUUCUAGUAUUCCGCCAUCUCCACCGCCUCGCAUCGGCUUCUCCGGCCCUCAGACGUAACUCUUCCAGUUCCUCCCACGGGGAAAAGCUUUCUGAGUUGUGCCGAUAGCUCUGCGGUUCCAGCCUCGACUCGUCUUGAAUUUCCUGCAUUCCCUUGAAGCUUCUCAAUCUCACUCGAACUGGAGCCAAUCGUAGCCAAGCGCCUCCCUCGCUCGACAACUUCAUUAUCGUUUGUUUUUGUCACUGCCUCCUCCUUCGGUUUCUAUCGUCUUCGUUCUCCGACGGAGGAGAAUAGCCGUGACUGAAACUCGAUCAGAAUUGGAUUCUUCACUUUGAGCUCUUCAUCAUUCGGUUACUGCAACCAUUUUGAAGGUAAGUCGUCUCUCAUUCUCUGGAUUUCAUUUUUCAAUUCGGUCAAUAGCAUCGAUUCUCGGCCUUUUUCUGAAUUUCCAGAGACCUCUUCAUCGAAACUUCUUCUCUAUUUCCCUCCAGACACUGUCAGCCACUGCCAACCGCAACCGAUCGUCACCGUUCCCAUUUCCACGGCUGCCGUCGGAAGCUCUGUUCGCCCCUGUUCUCCGUCACCGAUGCUGAAGUUCUCGGACCGCAGUCACCACCGUCUCUCGUGACGGUUCCAUUUCAUGAAGCCGCGUCUGCGAUCACCUUACCAAGGUCCGAUCAUUAAUCGCCACAGGUAAUCAUCCCUUAUUCAAUCGAAUCACAUAUGCUCUGUUUCAAGUUGCUCUACGUACAGACUACUGCAUGGGUAAAAUCUACUAAUUGCUUUGUGAUCAUCUCGUUCACAUAACUGAACUUAUUGAUAUGCAUAUUUGAGGUUGAGGUGCUUUUCUGUAUCUUCAUAUCAGAAUUGUGCAGUGCGUGCUUGAGCCGAGAGAUUCAUCAGUAUAUUUAUCGACUUACUUUCGUCGAUUUGUUCAAUGCAUGCCCGACCGUUGCUCUCAACACGUUGUGCUGAUCAACGCUUUAUAGAAGUUGCGCUUGGAUUUGCUGGAACCAGCUUAUACUCGACUGGUCAAGUUGAGCAAAGGUGGUCACUGCAGCAACCAUCUAGUUCGUGAAUAAUUCCCCUAGAAAUGAAAAAAUAGGUGCAAUUCUUAAGAGAAACGGCCGCGGUCCGUGAAAACAAGAUGAGGAAAAGAGAAAAUGUACCUGAUAAACCCGUAUAGAGGUUAAACGAGCCAUGGUAAAGCAGAAAAACCAGAUGUCACAGCUGUAUAGUCAAGCGCAAACAGCUUGUUAUGUUAAUCCUGAUAAUUAUCGGAGACUGAAGCUGUUCGGCUGCUUAGAAAGACACUCCUUUGUAGAUGCCCAAAAACAAUAAAAAUAAAAACCAAGCCCACAACCAGACUUCUUAAGUACGCGCGUUUCUCUCUUCAUACUGCCGGAACAUACGAAUUAAAUGUUCUCGAAGGAGUCCUAACCAAGCCCACAGCCUGACUUACUGAUUGAAUGUUCUCUAUUUUAUUUUGUGGUGUCCCAGUUUUGUGGGUUUUCGAUUGUUGAAUUGACUGAAUUGACAUUCUCUUGUGAGAAUAUUCUCGGAUGGGACUUCGGUUGUGAGGUAAUUAGACUCGGUUUCCUUCGUUAAUCGAAUGGCAGAUUUUUUAUUAGUUUGGCUUUUUAGUUAGGGCUUCUAGGUGAAUUCGAAUUCAAUGCGACCAUGUGAACAUCAUGUUGAUAUAGCUAAUUCGAAAUUAAUAUGAUUUGACUCUUUUUGGAUACUUUUUGGUGAAAAGGGCGAUUCCUCGUAAUAAUUAAAAUAAAAAAAAUUUAUAUUGAAAAUUUCAUGAUAAGAGAAAGUAUUUUUCAUGAAAUUUUGAUUUGUUUAAUAGUUUAAAAAAAAGAAGUGAUUUCCUUCUUGUUAUAAACGAAAUGCGGUUUUUCCCCAAUUUAAAAUUGUUGCUUUUCAAAAAAUAUUUUUUUAUAAAUUAAUUAAUUUUCCGUCAUCUAAACUUUAAAAAGUCAAAAAGGAAUUUCCCGAAAAAUAACUUUCCUUCGAACAAACAACCCUAAGUUUAAGUAAGUUCAGCGACUAUUUAAAAGAAAGGAUCUUGUAACUCUGUAGAAGACUACUAGAGACGUUGGCAGAGGCUUUCAAACACGCCCAGGCGCCCCCCCCCCCCCCACCCCCCUAUUAAUGGGCAAGAUCGGAGUCACUUGAAUCUAAGUUUAAUUCAGCUCAGAGAAGUGCUAAGAUGUUGGCAAGAGGCCCUUGAACAGGCCCUCUCUAUCUCUUUAUGAGCAAAAUUAGCGUCACUUAAAUCUAAGCUUAGUUUGACGAGUAAGAAACUAUCAAAAUAUUCGGAACAAGACAUGCGCUUAAAAUAUCACUAGAACUAGAGGAGAUUAUUACGUGAAAUGAUUCCCUAGGAUUCAAGAAUUGGACGUGCUCUUACAAUAUCACUAGAAUUAAAAGAAAUUAUUACGUGAAAUGAUUCCUUAAAAUUACUCCAUGUCACUAGCUAAUCUUUAUGAACUAAGAUCUUAUCAUUUCAUUGUAAGUUGCAAAAUGUGAAAUUGGUGCAAUUCAGCUUGUCAAAUUAAUAAAUAAAAAAAAAUAGAGAUGUGCUUGUCAUUUUAUAUACAGUAUAGGUAGUUACAAUCAAAUCUUUUGCAAAGUAUACAUGGACACUGAAAAGAUUACAUAUUAGAAAUUGAAAACCACUGACCAAUAAAAUUACAUACAAAAAACUUGUAAUUGAAAAAUAAAUAACAAAACAUAUAUUAAAGAUACUCUGAUAGUAACCCUAAAUUUGAACUAGGUGCCACCACAAUGAGAUUGUCCUUCAAAAGAUUAAACCAAUAUAAUUUAUAAAAGUGUCAGCUAACUAAUUAGCAAUUGGAAUACAUAUUGAAAUAAUUUCACCAGAUGCGAUUUUGUCCUGAAUAUCAAUGUGCUUGGUGUGAGCAUGGAAAGCCAAAUUAGCAGCUAAAUAAGUGGCUAUAAUAUUAUCACAUAUGAUUUACAGCCGGUUUAGGUGAAAAUACAUGAAGAUCAUAUGACUUCUCUAAAAUCCAAUAAGUUUCUACAACUGCAGAGGCGAAAACUCCUGUAUUCAGAUCCCGCAAUGUCAUAUUGUACCCAAUAAAAGCUAAGUAUCCAGAUGCUAAGUGAUGAGUAUCGGGACAACCGACCCAAGAGCAUGAGUUAAUGUUACCAAGGAGCUGUCGAAUGAUGGCUUCAAUAACAGUCCAUGAUCAAUUGUUCCAUUAAAAUAUAUAAAAAUGAGAUUAAUCGCUUGUAAGCGAGAUGUUUGAGGGCAAUGCAUGAACUGAUUCUCGACACGGGCAGCAUAAGAAAUGUCGGUAGGAUCCAUCAGUAACACACCAUCAUGUAAAGAAGGUUGAGACUUAAAACUGUAGAAGAUUCCUAGUGUAAUGUGUUCGAGACAGCAAAAUUCCCGUACCUCUGGACUGGUCCUCAACGCCAAGGAAGAAUGCGAUGGAAAAAAAAACUUUCAUGGUAAAAGCAAAAAGAAGUUUCCGAAUGAAACUAUGUAACUCUGUGGCACUACUACCUGUUAAAAGAUUACCAUCAACGUGACGUAGUAGAAUCAAGAUUCUAGAGCUUGAAUUAUGCACAAAUAUGAGUCAUAUGCCUUGCUGUAAAUAAAAGUGUUCGAAUGCUUAAAGAAGAACUCGCCUUUGACCUAAAAGAGGUCCAUAAACAUGCGAAAAGUAGUGCUCAACACAAUAAUUCGAAUCUGAUUCCAACAAUGCGCAGUAAAUUUCAAAAUUUCAUCCCGACCAUACCAUAAUCCCAAGUUGACUUCCAUAAAAUCCCAUAGUUUCACGACACACCAAAGUUUCAUUACAACAUGAUUUCAUAGCUCAACAACCUCUAGAAUCAGCCUAGUAACCUAAAACCAGAAUAGAAUUGAAAUUGCAGCUUAACCUAUAAAAUUUCCUUCAAUCGGGUGAAUUAAGUCUUUGAAUUCUUCUCAAGCGCUUCACGUACCACAUUAAUCCAAUGCGUUAUGAACUUGAACUGAACCCUUUCUCUCUCUACCGCACAGUUCACUUCUCUUUUCCAGUUUUCUUGAUUCUUCUUUCUCCCUCUUGACUAUUCCUCUUUUCUCUAAUAAGCCAACUACAACAAUUAUAACUAAGCUGAAGGAAGUUAGUCUGUUGGGCUUCAAAGAUGCAGCCUCAUGGGCGCAAUAAAUGAGAAUUGGUCUCUUGAGCCUAAGUCCCUUUCUUUUUUUCUUUUUUUUUGUAAAGGGAAGACUAUCGUUAUGGCUGCAACUCUGGUUAAAGUCUUAGACAUGGAUGGGGGAAAUUUUUUGAAUGAACCCAGAGCCCAACUUGCAUCCACUAUUGAAUGAUGCGAGCUCCACGUUGAACCCAACUUUUCACGGUGCAUGUGAGAAAUUGUGAAUCCCGAAAUUCAUUCCUUCCAUUGUGAAUAUAUCUAUAGAUUAAGUUAGUUAAGUCAUUAAGUAAUUUAAGGUAAUUGGCCGUGAUGGUUAGUCCAACUAGUAGCACCAAUUGCUACGGUGAUGAUGGAAUGAGUCAUCCUACGGAGCUGUUGACGACAUUGGCAUGCCAUCGGCCGUUGGAUGGGUGGCGCUCUCUAUGUCGCCCCAUUCUUGAUUUUUUUUUUUUUUCAUUUUCAGUUUUUUGCUUCUUUUUUUUUUCUUAUUUGCUUUUCGUUUUGCCUUUUUUCUUUUAUCAUACUUGAACUUGUAAACAUACAGUAAAACCUAGAUAAAAUUCUAAUGGAGAAUUACAAUAGAGAUUAAUAUGAUGAAAAACCCCUAUGAUUAAACAUGAAAAUAGUACAACGAAAAUUAUAGUAUUGUUCUUUACCGAAAACAAAAAAACAAAAAAAAAAACAAGAAAAAACAAAAAAAAAAUUAUAGUAUUGUUAAUUUCACAUGUAACACAUGUAAAUUUCACUGGCAAUGGAAAAAAAGACAUUCACAUUGCGAUGAACGAGAGAUGUGAAAACUGGAGGAACAAAGCCAAUUUGCAUCCUGCAAAGUCUUAGUCUUCUUGGAAAUGAUUUUUCUCCCAUUAUCACUUCUUCUUCUUUUCGCAAAGUCUAGAUCUUCGUGGUUGAUUAAAUUUUUUUCUCCCAUUAUCACUAUUUUCACAAAGUCUUGGUCUUUCUAGAAAUGGUUAAAGUUUUUCUCCAAUCAUCACUUUUAUUUUUUUGCAAAGUCUUCAUCUUCGUGCAAUUGAUUAAAGUUUCUCUCUCAUCGUUAGAGCCGUUAAACGGGUGGGUCGGGUCGGGUUUGGGUCGGGUCAUUAAUGGUCCGACCCAAAUUGACCCAUUAACCCAUUUAUGACCCAUUAAUGUUUAAUGUAAAUUUUUCGACACAAACCCGACCCGACCCAUACCCAACCCAUACCCGACCCGACCCAACUCAUAUUAAUAAAAUAUUUUCAUAUUUAACAAAUUUAGAAAAACUUAUUCCCAUGUUUUUUUUAAAGAUUAUAUUAUUAAAAUACUUCCAAGCUUUUAUAUAUAUAUAUAUUAUUUUUUUUUUAAAAUUGUAUUGCUAAAAUAGUUUUAUACAAUAUAAAUUUAAUGGAAAAUUUUUAUAAAUUUUAAAAUAAUUAUUUAAAAAAAAAUCGAAAUUUAAUUAUUUAAAAAAAUUAAAAUUUUUAUUAUUUUUAAAAUAUAAUUUUCUUUUUCUUUUUCUUUUUCUUUUUCUUUUUUCUUUUUUCUUCUCCUUCUUCUUCUUCUUUGGCCGGCCGCCGGCCACGACGACGGCUGGCGACCGGCCACGACGACGGCCGGCGACCGGCCACAGGUGAGCCUCGAGCUCGAGCUCGCCGACGCCGGCGAGCUCGAUCUCGCCCGACGCCGAGAGCUCGAGUCUGGCCAGAUCGGCGAGGCUCGAGCCUCGCCAGAUCUGGCGAGCCUCGAGCUUGCCGACGCCAGCGAGGCCUCCGCCUCGCCAGAUCCGGCGAGCUCGAGCUCGCCCCUCGCCGGAACUGGCGAGGCUCGAGCCUCGCCCGACGCCGGCGAGCUCGAGUCUCGCCAGAUCUGGCGAGCCUCGAGCUCGCGGACGCCGGCGAGGCCACCGCCUCGCCAGAUCCGGCGAGGCUCGAGCCUCGCCCGAUGCGGGAGAGCUCGAGGCUUCGGCAGAUCGGCGAGGCUCGAGCCUCGCCCGACGCCAGCGAGCUCGAGGCUCGCCAGAUCGGCGAGGUUCGAGCCUUGCCGACGCCAGCAGGCUCAGGCUCGCCAGAUCAGCAGGCUCGAGUCUCGCCGGGCGUCGGCGAGGCCUCCGCCUCGCCAGAUCGGCGAGCUCGAGCUCGCCCGACGCCGGCGAGCUCGAGGCUCGCCCUGGCCCGGUCGCCGGGCUGUCGUCGUGCCGGCGACCGGAAGGAGGAAGGAGAAAGAAAAAAAAAGAAAGAAAAAAAAAAAAGAAGAAAGAAAAUAAAGGAAGAAAAAGAAAAGAGAAAAUAAAAAUAAAAAAAAUUAUAAUUUGGAUUUUUAUAAAGUUGAAGAGAGAAGGGAGGAAUUAUAAUGUUUUUGUUAAAGAUGAGUUUUCAACCCAACCCAUUUAAAAACCCACUUAAGACCCACCUAUCUUAAGCCUAUAAUUGUGAAACCCAUUUAAUUAUCUUUUGUUAUAAACAAGUGACCCAUUUUAACACCUCUACUCAUCGUCACUUUUUGUCCGGCAAAGUCUUGGUCUAUUUGGAAUUUAUUUAAAUUUCUCUCCCACCAUCACGAAUUUUUAUUAAAGUGCUUCACUUUUGCUUUACAUGUUUGAGUGAAAAUUAUGUAAUUUUGCUUCAACUUUCCCAAAAAAAGACACAUGAUAUCUAGCAAAAUCUUUGGGCAUAUUCUCUAAAUAUUGUGAAAAAUGCACUUGUGGACAAAAGUAUUUUAUAUCGAUUUCUCUAAUCUCUACGUGCAUUUUUGAAAGUCUUGGUCUCCCUAUAGUUUGUAGUUUUCUCUUUCCAUUAGCUCAUUAUCACUCAACUCUUGUUUUUCUCUUUAGUGACUGAUUCACCCAUGACCAUUGGAGAGCUCUUUUUGAGUUCCUUCUUGGCUUCCUUGUUGUACUAAUUUCUAGUAUUGUUAAUUUUAAGCAAGACAUGUAGCAUGUGGAAAUGCUACUAGUAAUGGAAAAAGAGACAUUGACAUAGGGAUGGAAGAGGAGGGAUGUGAAAAGUGAAGCAACAAGGACAAUUUGUGUCCUGCAAAGUCUUGAUCUUCCUAGCAUUGAUUAAAGUUUCUUUCCCAUUACCGCUUUUUCCCUUUGGCUUCACUUUUUACACAAAAAACUUGAUGAGAUCCAGUAAAGUCUUGGUCUUCCUAAUACGCCAAAAAGCUUGAGUUAGAUGGAAGAGGGUAUGUUUUGAUGCACAUUCUGUCCUCGAGUUAGAUUGUUCCCCUUUUUUUUCUUUUGACCAAAGCUCAUGAUUUUAUCUUCCUUAUCAAACAAACAAACAUAACAGUCUUUGAUGACUUAUGGAUGCAUAACAGAAAAUAAGAUGCCAUUGUUGGCUUUAUCCUCAAUAAUUUAGGUUUCAAUUACAUCAACAAAGUGGAGAUCCUUUGAUGCGAUUUUGGCCCCAUGAUGCAUGAGGAACUGUUGGGGAGGCAUAUGUUGGCACGAGAUGGCUAGCUGCAGAGUCCUUGCGACAAGUACCAUGUCAUGAUGGAGUUUGACAUAAUUUUGAGCCUUCGGAUGUAGAUGUCCAGCUUCAAAUUCAUUAUAUGGUCUUAACUCAAUUCUCAAAUUGUUUGUGUACAGGCUCUUAAUAGUGCAUGAUUGUAAAUUCUCUAGAAUCAUUAUAAUCAACCUAUACACCAACACAUAAUACUAAUUCGCUUCAAGUAAUAUUAGAGGAAAGGCAUAAUACUAAUUUGUAUGCUCACUCAAAAUAAGUUGGUUGAAUCGCUCUCAAAAUUCUAAAAUCAUAGAUAAUCUAGAUUCAUUGUCUAGAAAAUAUUCCAUACCAAAUGGUUUGUUCUCCCCAUUGAAAAAAGAAGACCAAUCUUGCUUUAAGAAAGCAAAAUUCAUGCAAGACAUGCUAGACUCCAACUUGACAUGAUUCGAUGGCUCUCUCUCUCUCUCUCUCUCUCUAAUUGGUUAAACCCCCUGAGUCGUUCCAUAUCCACACACAUUACAUGUUCCGUUCAUGCAUAUUUAGAUUCUCAACUUCUGUUAAUUCUUAGAACCUACAAUAUCUAAAACAUGAUUGAGGAAAGCAUUCGAAAUAGUAUGGACUAAAUUUAUAGUAACCAAUUAGUGCCAAACACAAUAGUUCAAAUAUGGUUCCGACAGUGUGCAAUAAACUUCAAAAUUUCACCCCAACGAAACCGUAAUCCUAAGUUGACUUCCAUAAAAUCUCAUAGUUUCAUGACCCCAAAAUUUCAUUACUACAUGAUUUCAUAGCUCAACAACCUCUAUAAUCAACCUUGCAACUUCAAACCCGAAUGGAAUUGAAAUUACAACUUAAUAUAGAAAAAAUUUCUUCCAUUAGGUUUAUUAAGUCUUUGGAUUCUUAUCAAGCGCUUCUUGUACGACAUUAAUCCAACGCAUUAAGAUGUACCCAGCGAACUUGAACCGAACCCUUUCUCUCUCUAGCGCGCAGUUCACUUCACUUUUCCAGCUUUCUUGAUUCUUCUCUCUCUCUUAACUAUUCCUCUUUUCUCUGAUAUGCCAACUACAACAAUUAUAACUUUCUUUGGAGCAACUUGCUUUUGCUGCGGGUUUGAGGGUUUAACGUCGUUGGGGGCUGGUCCGUUCAGUGGUUGCCGCUUUUGCUGCUGUGUGGAAUGCUGCCGGUUGCUGCUUCCCCUCACUGUCCCUUUUCCAUUCCUUUUUUGCCAUUGUUUGGCUGCCCUCUUUUUGCUGGUUGGCUGUUUCGCUGCCUUUGUUGGGCUGUUGUGGCUCUUUUUCUUGGGACCAUUCCACUUGUCUUGACAUGUAAGUCUUUAUGAGUGUAAGUUCUUUGGUGGCGAGAUCCAUCAGUUGUACAUUUUGUGGUUAAAAGUCAAUAUAAUUCUUACCUUACCAAAAGAAAAAAAAAACAAUUAUAACUAAGCUGAAGGAAGUUAGUCUGUCAGGCUUCAAAGGUGCAGCUCCAUGGGCGUAAUAAAUGAGAAUUAGGUCUCUUGAGCCUAAUUCCUUUAAAAAAAGAAAAAAGAAAAAAAGAAAGACUCUUUUGUUGCGGUAGCAACUAUUGUUAAAGUUUUAGAUACAGGAUGAGGGAAAAUUUUUGAAUGAACCCAAAGCAUGUGAGCCUAGCUCACAUCCACUAUUAAAUGAUGUGAGCUCCACAUUGAACCCAACUUUUCAUGGUGCUCGUGAGAAAUUGUAAAUCCCAGAAUUCAUUAUUUCCAUUGUGAAUAUAUCUAUAAAUUAAGUUAGUUUAGUCAUUAGGUAAUUUAAGGUGACCGGUUGUGAUGGUUAGUCCGGCUAGCAGCGCCAACUGCAACGGUGGUGAUAGGGUUGGAAUGAGUCAUCCUACGGAGGUGUUGACGACAAUAGCAUGCCAAUGGCCAUUGGAUGGGUGGCGCUCUCUAUGUGGCCAUACUCGUGAUUUUUCUUUUCCUUUUCAUUUUUUUCGCUUUUUUUUGUUCGCUUUUUUUUUUUUUUUGGCCUUUUUUCUUUUAUCAAAUUUCCAUGGAUGAAAACCUAGAGAUAAUUCUGAUAGACAAGUACAAUAGAGAUUAAUGAAUGAAAACCCCAAUAUGAUUAAACAUGAAAAUAAUUAACCGAAAAUUAUAGUAUUGUUAAUUUUACAUGUAACACAUGGAAAUUUCACUAGCAAUGGAAAAAGAGACAUUCACAUGGCAAUGAAUGAGAAAAGUGAAAAGUGAAGGAACAAAGCCAAUUUGAGUCCUGUAAAUUCUUGGUCUUCCUGCAAAUGAUUAAAGUUUCUCUCCUAUCAUCACUUUUUCGCAAAGUCUUGGUCUUUGUGGAAUCGAUUAAAGUUUCUCUUCCACCAUCACCUUUUUUCGCAAAGUCUCAGUCUAUCUGGAAUUGAUUAAAGUUUCUCUCCCAUUGUUACUUUUUCUUAAAAAGCUUCACUGUUGCUUCCUAAAUAUAACCGACAUAGACACGUGAUACACGACACGAUUUACCGACAUUUCAUUUUUCAAAAAACAAAAAAUUCCGACAUGUUGAAAUACGUUAUAUAUUAAAUAAAUAUUUUUUAUAUAUACAUAAUAAAUUAUUAUUUUUAUGAUAAAUUUACAAAUAGAUAAAUAAUAAAAAAAAAAAGCCUAAAAUGAGCUUACAAGUCCUCUAUCCCGCCUUGGCUACCGCGCCUUUUUGGCAAUUCAUUUGAACACACGUUCUUAGAACAAGAUAGAAAUUCUUUUACAUUUUCUUUUGAAGAUAAUUCAUAUAAUAAUAUAUUAAUCUAAUGAUUAAUAAAAAUUAAAAAUCUACUCUGACCAUCUCUCUCGUCCUCUUCUUGGGGUUUUCCAGACCAAGAAGCUUGCCCUCAACAAAUAACUGUGGACUUUAACCGUCAAGCGUUGCUUGUCGGGAGCCCCAAGUGAAAGCAAGGGAUGCCGUUCGUGGAACCUCACCAUGGUCGCGAUGGGCGAGGUCAAGAUUCCGACAACGGACUUCCAGAUCUGGAGGUGAGAUCGAGAUACGGUUGUGAUUGUGCUCCAUCUUCCCCGUUGUUGCCAUGGUUGCUGCAAAUCUAACUGUUUAGAUCGGAUCUGCAGUGGCGGAGGCAUUGGGUGGGGACUCACUAUUGGGCGCGGCGGCCAUGUGAGUCCUCCACCUCCCGCUUCUCCGCCUCCCUUAAGAACACCAACCCCCACCUCCCCUAUGGUGGCACAUGGCGGAAACUCUCAUAAUUACUUGAAUGCCCCUACGCGUGUUGGAAUCGCAUGUCGAAAUUUUGGACUCGCGUGUCGGAGUAUAUCAAGAAGAGUUGACCAUUUGUCGAAUUUUCCGACACUUAUUGACCACGUGUCGAAACAUGUCGAACAUGUGUUGGAGUGUCGGACACGACACAAAAGCUUUUGAAAAGUGUCGGUACUUCUUAAGUUACUUCACAUGUAUUGCGUGGAAAUUAUCUACUUUUGCUUCAGCUUUCCGUAAAAAAAAGCACAUGAUAUCCAGCAAAGUCUCGUGAAAUAUUCUCCAGAUAUUACGAAACAAGCACUUGUAGACAAAAAGUCUCUGGAAAUAUUCUCCGGAUAUUGCGAAACAAGCACUUGUAGACAAAAAGUAUCUUGCAUCUAUUUUCUCUAACCUCUGAUGCGCAUCUUUGAAAGUCUUGGUCUUGCUAAAGCUUAUAGUUUUCUCUCUCUACUAGCUCCUUAUCACUCAAACCUUGUUUUUUCUUCAGUGAUUCAUUCACCCAUGACCAUUGGAGAGAUCUUUUCGGGUUCCUUCUUGGCUUCCUUCUUAUACUAAUUUCUAGUAUUGUUAAUUUUAAGAACGGUUAAUAUCUUGAAAAAUUCCAAACUGGUACACAUGUGACAAAUUUACCUCAAAUUAUUUUUUUAAUCACCGAAAACUCUAAACUGAUAUACCUUUGAUAAAUUUAUCCCAAAUUAGUAUACUUAUAACAAUUUUACCCUAUGUUAGUUUUCGUUAAAUUUUAUUAUCAAAUUAUUAAGUUAAAUAAUAUGUGACAGUUGAUUGGUGUACCGAUUUGGGAUUUUACGCUCCAUUUGUCAAAGUUUACAAAUUUUGUAAUUUUUGUGGUAUUAAUUUAAUUUAGCGAAGGGUAUGUUUGUCACAAAUUUAUUAGUUUCGGGUUUUUUACGAUCGAAUAAAUUAGUUUGGGCUAAAUUUGUCAUAAAUGUACCAGUUUAAGAUUUGUUAUGAUUAGUUAGGGUAAAUUUGUUACAGGUGUACCAGUUUGGGCUUUUUCAUAGUCAAAAAAAUAAUUUAAGAUAAAUUUAUCGCAUGUGUACUAGUUUUGGAAUUUUUCAAUGUAUUAACCCUUUUAAGAAAGACGUGUAACGUGUGGAAAUUCUAUUAGUAAUGGAAAAAGCGACAUUCACAUAGAGACGGGAGAGGAGGGAUGUGAAAAGCGAAGCAACAAAGCCAACUUGCAUCCUGCAAAGACUUGGCCUUCUUGGAGUUGACUAAAGUUUCUAUCCCAUUGUCACUUUUUCCCUCUUGCCUCACUUUUUACACAAAAAAGUUGAUUCUCCAAAUCAAGACUUUUGGAUGUCGUCUAAAACAGAGGACCAUUUCUUUUGGCCAAAGCACAUGAUUUCGUUUUCUUUGUCAAACAUAUAAACUUACCCAUCUUUGGUGACUUGUAGAUGUAUACAAAAAAAACAUAAGAUGCCAUUGUUGGUUGUAUCCUCAAUAAUUUAGGUUUCAAAAACAUUGAUGUCGAUCUGACUUGAUUUCUACUAUUUACCUUGUAUAAUGUAGGAAAAAUAAACUUCAAAUAAUUAAAAUAUAUUUUUUUAAUUGAAAACUCAAGAUUUAGAAAAUAUUUUCAAAAAACUGAUUGAGUUUUUUGAUUUAUUGCUCACAAAAAUGAACAAAUCAAAUUUUUUCACCAUUUACCGAAAUAGGUAGGUAUAAAUUGAGGUUGGCAAUGAAAGAUAUCUUGUGUUGGUCAAUUUUUUUAAAUGAUGUAAAUUAUUUUUCGGAAAAUGUUAUCCAAAUCUUAAGUUUUUCACACUCUAGGUGCAUUUGGUAUGCUUCAUGGAUAAUUGUUUAGAUUUUUUUGUUCCCGAAAAUAGAAAUGGUAUAAAAAUGUAUUUGACAAAUUUUUUGUUCUUGAGAAUAAAUGUGUUCGCAUAACAUCUUUGAAACAGAAAUCAAACAAAAGAAAAAAGAAGUAACUAUUGCUCCAAGAACAAAAAUAAAAAAACGGAGUUAAUUCUCAUCCUUUUUAAAACUUCUUGGCAGACGUCUUUCUGUCUCUCUCACCUUUCUCUCUCGCGAAGUUUGUUUCUCCUCCACCUCCUCUUCGCAUCGUUCGCCGGAGAAGACAGAGUCGCGACACCUUUCCUCCUCCGUUGUUGCCGCAACUAGUCUUGAGAAACGGUAGGCGUCUCUCUCCUUGGCAAUUCUUGCUCUCUCUCUCUCUGGCGAUUCUCGCUUUGUUUUUCAUUGCUCCCCUUUGCCUUUUUUAUUUGGGUUUGAUUUGUCGCUCGAUUGAGCGAGAGGGUUAGUCGUAGAUCGUUUGCGUUUUGCUGUUCGUUCGAUUUCUUCCUGUCGUAGCUCGUCUCGUGUCGUUUUUGGAGGUGCUCUCACUUUCGCCAUUGACGUACGGACCACCGCUCGUGCUCUCGCUUCCCGUUCUUCUUAACAACGAAUCUGCAAUUUGGGUGUUCCCUGCAAUUCUUCUUUCCUCGUGGGUUUCUCCCCCUUUGCGGAAUCGAAGUAGUGGGUAAAAGGAAAAAUGAGAUUUUGGGGUCGAUGGUUCGUGUGUUUCACAAGUGUGGUAGAAGCGGUUGCUUGAGAAGAUUACCAGUGUCACAAAGCGGUGGGUUCUCAAAUAGUGCCGUCAAAUCCUCGAACAUUCUCGAACUCGCUCGAAAGGCUCCCCUUACCUUAUCUAUGCUUUUAUACCUGUCUGUCCCCAGCAGAGUUUUGGCUGGGCUUUUUCUCGAAUAUACGUUUUCCAGCAUCCAUUCUUGAAGUUUCAUCCCUUUCUAUUCUCUUGUACGAGGUUCUUUGAAUUGAAAGAUUUGAAGCAACGUAUUUUUGUUCACGGUUCUCUGGGUUCUAGCAAUUUCAUGAUAAGCUCUUCAUGUUUUGAUUGUUUUCAAUUUGCUUUGAGAUUUAUUAUGUGAUGAAUAAAAGUUGGGUUUUUGUUUUUUUUUUUUUUUUUUUUGGUGUUUUGCUUCUUUUUGUUGGGUGGUGGUGUUUCAGAAGCGCACCUGAAGUUCGGAUUUUGGAGUCGAAAGACCAGGAGAUAAAGUAGCAUUUUUUGACUCGAAGCAGGUAUGAUCAUGAAAACUUUCACCCGCAAUCAGACAUGCAAAGUUUUAAUUUUUGGAACUGUGUUGGUGGCUUAUUUGGAAAUGAGCAUGUAUAUGCGUGGAGUGGCCUCUUGUUACAACCUUUUUUAAUUUCUGUCUGUUUCAUCUUGAUUCUCCUGCUCCUUUCUUUAAAACCACACCGCCUCACUUUUUCUUCAUCCACCACCACCACCAUCAUCAUCAUUAAACUCACGCCCACAGACUUCACCCUCAUUCAAUUCAUUUAUUGCGUGCAUAUCGAUUGUCGCCAAUCACCACCAUCUCUAGUCGUCGCUCAACUAAUACCAUCGUUCGUCGUUGCAAGCAGCGACCACGCAUUGCCGUAGCUGAAUACGCACGCGUACAGUGAACUGCCAAACCUAGCACUCGUGCUUGCUGGAUUGCUGUUGUGGAUCUUAUCCCAUUCACCUGGUCAGCUCCAGGGAGUCUACUUGGAAUAGGUCAAAGACAUCUUUCUACUUGCUCUCUUUUUCCCUUGUGCUGAUGCAGCAAGUUUAAUAGCAAAAUUGGGGAAAGUUGAUGCCAGAUACUAGCUGGCCAGGUUAAAGUUGCAGCUUGAUUGCAUAAUUCAUGGUGAUUUGUUAAUUUUGUUUUAAUCAGGUGAUACAUCUGCACACAUAAUUGUUUGAGCCAAAACUCAGACCUUUAUUUUUUGAUUUUUCAUUACAUAUUAGCAUAGAAUUGCAUUAUAUCCAUAUCAGGACAAUUAUAUCAGAAAACUUAGAAUUUUCAUGGAAAAGCAUUAUCAUGCGCAUCUAGGCUUUUUGGAGUGCAUUAUUGUUAAUUCUCUUUUUUGCACAUUUCCUUUGAUAAAUCACAUGCUAUAACUUGGGAAAUUUGGGAAAAUCAUAUCUUGCAUAUUAAUAAAUUUAGAUUGCAUCUUCAUAAAAAACAAAACAAAACAAAAAUGUGAAGUGGAACUCUCCGCGAGUCACGAAGAGUAUUAUCGCCCCAUUCCUGCAUUUUUUUUUCUUCAUCAGUUUUUUGCUGUUUUUCUUAUUUAGUUUUUCUUCUUGCUUUUUUUCCAUUUAUUAGACUUAUAUUUGAAAAGAUAAAUGGAAAUCUAGACAUAAUUCCAAUAGACAAGUACAACAGAGAUUAAUGAAUGAUUAAUCACAAUAUGAUUAUUAAUGACAAAAGUUGGACUAAAAUUAUAGUUUUGUCAAUUUGAGCAAGAGAACAAUAAUCACUGCUAAUUGUCAAUCACACACAUAAACAAAUAAAAAUAAAAAUUGGCAUCCAUGUAACGCGUGGAAAACUACUAGUAAUGUAAAAAAGACAUUCACAUGGGAACGGAAGAGGAGGGAUUUGAAAAGUGAAGCGACAAAUCCAAUUUGCAUCACCGUAAGUCUUAGUCUUCUUCGAUUUUAUUAAAUUUUCUUUCCCAUAAGCUCUUUAUCAGUUAUACUUCACUUUCAUGACAAAAAAGUUCAUGAUACCCAGUGAAGGUUUGGUCUUCCCAAGUUUAUGAUUUUUUUAUAUGAACAAGUAUAUGAUCGUGGAUACUACAUAUGUAUGGGGAUAAUCUCUAAAUAUUACAGAACAAGCACUUGUGAAGAAAAGAAAAAGAAGAAAAAGUUGCAGCAAGAUGGGCGGCAAUAUCUGCUGAAAGGUGAUGGGUUAGUAGUUGAUGAUGGGGAAUCGCUUGAAACGAGAAUCAUGGUCCUUUGAGCACGUGUUUCUAUUCUCCUUAUCCACUGUAAAUGGUAAACGAGUCCAGUAUUAACAACAUAUAAUUUACCGGAUGUCACACUCUACCCAUUACACUAAUGAACUUGAUAAUCGUGUUCAAAGGAUCGCGAUUCUCCUAUCAAGGUGAUUCAUGAUUAUCAACCACUACCUCAACACACUUCAACAAAUCAUUAUCACCGAUCUUGCUAUGAAUCUUUCGCAUAGAAACUCCCAUGUAAAAGACUUCAUUAAUCUCAUAUUCACCAAUAAAGCAUAAAACAAUGACAUUGAAAUCAUGAGGUUACUAAGAAUAUACAAACGCUAAAAAAGCCAACAAAACACUCGUGAGUGAUAACACUUAUGGCGAAAAUAUGCAUACACUCUAAGUUCGUCACAUUAAGACUCUGUUUUGGAUGGCCAAAAGUAAAGAUCCAAUAGCCAAAAAGUCUUGAUCCGAAGAAUAAAGAGAGUAAUUGAUGUAACUAGCACUUGUGGACAAAUAGUAUUUAUUUUGAUUUGUCUAACCUUUGAUGUGCAUCCCUUGAAAGUCUUGGUCUUUUUUUUUUUAAAUCUUUUUCGUAGGUCAUCAUCUCAGUGUUCCCAGGACUUCAUAGUUUUCUCUCUCCAUUAGUUCAUUUUCACUUUGCUUCACCAUAACACCUUUCUUGUUCAUUACAGUGACCGAUUCACCUAUGGACAUUGGAGGGAUCGUGUUGGGUUCCUUUUUGGCUUCAUCCUUUCAGGUCCUGUUCGACAAGUUGGCUUCUUCCGCAUUAAGUUAUGCACAACAUAAAGGAAUCAGCACUACCUUGCCUAAGGUGUGGAAGGAGAAGCUAGUCAUAAUCAAUGCAGUGUUGGCUGAUGCGGAGGACAGGGAACUUAGUGGUAACCAUCAAGUGAAGCUGUGGCUGGACAAGGUUAAGGACUUGGCCUAUGACAUGGAAGACUUGCUCGAUGAGUUUGAGAUCAAAGCUGCUCAAGUUGAGUCAGAGGCAGAAUCCAGCACAAGCAAAGGUUUGGGGAAAUGGAAGUUCUCUGUAUUUGGCCGACCACCCUCGCUCAUGUCUGAAACCAAGGUACAAGAGAUCAAUGACCGUUUGGAAGAGGUUGUCACUGGAAAGGUUCAUUUAAACUUGAGAGAGAAUGUUGUGGACAAAUCCAACUAUACCAGUAAAAGGAUAACCACUUCUCUAUCAGAGCCUCAAUUUUUUGGUAGGGAGGAGGAUGUAGAACAAAUACUCGAACUAUUGAUCAAUGAGGUCAAAAAUUCUAAUGCCACGCUAAACAUAGUCCCCAUAGUUGGGAUGGGUGGUAUUGGAAAGACUGCCUUGGCUCAACAGCUAUAUAAUGAUGCAAGAGUGAAUAGAUGUUUUGAGAUGAGAGCAUGGGUUUGUGUUUCAGAUGUUUUUGAUGUUCUCGACAUAACAAAGACUAUUUUACGGUCAAUCACUAGGUUGCCCUGUGAGGGCAAAGAUCUAAACGAGUUUCAAGUUAAGUUGAGGGACAAUCUUUUCGGAAAGAAGUUUCUUGUGGUUCUAGACGAUAUCUGGAAUGAGAAGUACGAAAAAUGGACUGAUCUCUUAAAGCCAUUUGUAGUGGGUGCUAGGGGAAGCAAGAUUAUUAUUACGACUCGCAACCAUGCUGUUGUUUCAGUAACAAAAGCACCGCCAAUUCCGUUGAAGGAAUUGUCCCUCAAUGAUUGUACAAGCUUAUUGGCCUUUCAUGCUCUUGAAGCAACAAAUUUUAAGAGCCACCCGGAAUUUGAAACAAUAGGCAAGAAAAUAGCUAAAAGAUGUAAAGGUUUACCUUUGGCAGCGAAGAUGUUUGGUGGUGUCCUACGACAUAAAAUGAAUCCCAGUGAAUGGGAAGAUACCUUAAAUAACAUAAUAUGGGAUCUUCCAACGACAAAGAAUGAUGAGGUUCUCCCUAUUUUGAAAUUGAGCUACGUCCAUCUUCCUUCCUAUUUGAAGAGAUGCUUUUCUUAUUGUGCAGUAUUUCCUAAGGAUUACGAAAUUGAGAGGGAUGAGCUAGUACUCUUAUGGAUAGCGGAGGGAUUUUUAGAUGGACAAAAAACAAAGAAAANNNNNNNNNNNNNNNNNNNNNNNNNNNNNNNNNNNNNNNNNNNNNNNNNNNNNNNNNNNNNNNNNNNNNNNNNNNNNNNNNNNNNNNNNNNNNNNNNNNNAUGCAUGAUCUUUUGAAUGAUCUAGCAAAGUCAAUUGAGGGUGGGAUAUGCUUUAGCUCUGGGAGUCUCUACCGGCAAUUAAUGAAGAUUAUGCAUCUUUGGAGAGAGCUCGUUAUGCAUCAUUCAUCCGGUCGCGGUUUGUUACAUCAAAAUGCUUGUGGGCAUAUCAUGAUAUGAAGGUAUUAAGAAGUUUAAUUUUGGUGCGUAUUGGAUCUAGUGGGAACUGUCUCCUUAUAUCCGACAAGGUGCUACAUGAGUUGCUAACAAACUUGAAGUUUCUAAGGGUUUUUUCAUUAUGUCAUUGUAACAUCGUAGAGGUACCAAAUUGUGUUCAUGAAUUAAAACAUCUUCGAUACCUCAAUUUCUCGAACACUUAUAUCGAAAGGCUACCUGAGACUAUUGGCAACUUGUGCAAAUUACAAGCUUUGAUCUUAAGAGAUUGUCAUAAACUUUCAAAGUUGCCUAACAGUAUCACAAAGUUGGUCAGCUUACAGUUUCUUGAUGUUAGAGAUACAAAAAGUCUAAAAGAGAUGCCACUGGGUAUCGGUAAUUUGAAGAAUCUUACUAUAUUGUCCAAGUUUAUGGUAGGAACAAAGAAAUGGUUACAAUUAAAGGAGUUAAAGACCCUAUCGCAUCUUCAAGGAGAAUUAUGCAUAUCAAAAUUACAAAAGGUGGAAGAUGUUAGAGAUGCCGUUGUUGCUAAUUUGUCAGGAAAGCAAGGCCUAAGAAAAUUAUCCUUGCAUUGGGAUGAAGAUUUUGGAAUUUUUAGGAAUGAUAAGCACGAAUCACAGGUGCUUGAGUCUUUGCGACCUCCCAUUGAUAUUGAAAAUCUCACUAUUUUGAACUAUGGCGGUGCAAUAUUCCCAUCAUGGUUAGAUGGUUCAUCAUAUUCUCGGAUAGUGUCUUUGAGCUUGUGGAAUUGUCCUUAUGUCACAUCGUUGCCUUCACUUGGACAACUCCCUUCAUUGAGAGAAUUAUCUCUUAAAGGUCUAAAUGCAGUAAGAAUAAUAGGCUCUAAUUUUUACGGAGGUGAUAGGCCUUUUUCGUCCUUAAUUACUUUGCAAUUCGAAGAGAUGUUGGCAUGGAAGGAUUGGUCUCCUUAUGUGGGGGGCCCAAAAGAAGAAGUCCCAUUCUCUUGUCUUGAGCAUCUUGUUGUCCGGGGAUGUCCUUCGUUGGUCGGGACAUUGCCUUGUCAACUUGAUCAUCUUAUAAAGCUUGAAAUUCAUUCAUGCCAACAAUUGAAUAACUCAACCAGUGAGUUAUGUCUUCCAUCUCUCGAAGAGUUACACCUUGAGGAUUGUAGUAAGGAGAUCUUGAAGAGCUUGUUCAAGCUAACUUCUUUGACAAUUCUCAAAAUUAACAAACUCAUAGAGCUUGUUUCCUUUGAUCAUUGGUUUAUGAGUUGCUUGGGCAAGCUAAGGAAGCUUCAUAUAGGACUGUGUGACAAGCUAACAUGCUUGUGGCAAGAUGGAGAUGAAACACAAAAUCUCACUUGCCUCCAGGAAUUAGUAAUAAAAAAUUGUCCUCAAUUCACAUCUUUUGUGGCAGGAGACGGAGAGAUAGAGCUACCCUGUAAUCUUGAAAGGAUGGAAUUGGUGGAUUGCACAAGUCUAGAAAAGCUUCCAAGUAAGAUGCACACACUUAGACAUUUGGUGAUUGAGAAUUGUCCAAAAACCAUGGCUCUAAACAUUCCUCAAGGUGACCCGAGCAGCAAUAAUUCGAUUUCUCAACUUGAAUCUCUUAAGAUAUGUUGCUGUGAUUCUCCGAUAUCCUUUUCAUUUGCCAAGGGUAGACUUGCUCCUCUGAAGGCACUUCAUAUAGACAAUUGUAAGGGAGUGGAGUCAUUGGAAGGGAUUGCCGUAGAAUCGCUUGAAACAAUGACAAUUAACUAUUGUCAAAAUCUGGGAAGCUUACCACAGUGCCUUCACAUGCUCUCCCAUCUCACUCGAUUGAAUAUUCAUAAUUGUCCAGCACUGGAGAUAGAGGACUUCCCUCCCCUUCCCGUCACCCUCUCGAGUCUUGAUCUUAGUUCUUGUUCUAAGAUAAAGUCUAUUGCCAACUGUAACAUUGCCAACUGUAACAAUCUCACUAAAUUGAAAAUAAAGAAGUGUCCGGUAUUGGAGAUAGAGGACUUCCCACCCCUUCCCAUCACCCUGCAGAGUCUUGAACUUUGGUAUUGUCCGAUGAUAAAGUCCCUGCCAAAUAAGUGGCAUCAUCUUACCUCCCUCCAAGAGCUAAGAAUUUACUAUUGCGAAAAUAUCAAAUGCUUCCCUAAAGGAGGUCCGCCUCCCAAAUUGCGAGACCUUGCAAUUAUGGGGCUCGUGGCUCUGAAGCACCCAGUGAGAGAGUGGGGCUUACCCCUACUCACAUCUCUCGAGAGUCUGACCGUUGCGUUUAACAUGGGAGGGGAGGGAGAGAAGGAGUGGUUUCCUUUGGAGGAUAAGGAUGCUUGGAGUCGCUUUCCUUCCUCUCUAACCUAUCUUUGGAUAUAUGGUUUGAGAAACACAGAAAGACUAUCGAGCGGUCUCCGCAACCAUCUCUCCUCUCUCCGAUGGUUAUCUAUUAAGGAUUGCCCCAAGUUGAGGUACUUGCCAGAGGAUGGCUUCCCUCCCUCCCUCCAACAAUUGAAAAUAUGGAGAUCCAAGAUUCUGGAAGAGCGAUGCGCAAAACUCACUGGCGACUAUUGGCCCCUCAUCGAAGAGAUCCCUUCCAUCAUCGUUGAUCACAAACAGAUCUAAUGAAUUGAUUCGUGCAUCUACACUACAAUGAGUUUUCUUAGGGUUCGAGUAAGUUAUUUUUGGUUUUGAAGGCAUCCUUUUCCAUUCUACUUUCUCAAUUCGAUGCUCAAUACGAACUGAUGUUUGGGUGGGGGAUUGCGUUGGGUUGGAUUGGCUCUAUUUCGUUGGACGAUGAACUGUAGGAUGAAACGCUCGCAGUGCUGCCUCUUGCUAUGUUGACGACAUAUCCUCAUUUAUGCUCGAUGCCCAAACCAUUUGUGAAUGAAAUCGCACCAUCACGAAGAAUCGUAGCAUUCCACAAUCAUAGUCCUCUGCAUUUUCAGCGUCUAUUGUCUGUUCUCUUCCCAACAUAUUUUUUCUUGGGCCCUUAAGCUCAUUCACUCUGCUUGUUUUGCAGAUACCAUUGUGAUCUUGCAUUGGCAGAAUCUCUUGGAAUGAUCACGUGCGAACGCUUCUAAGGUAGGGCUAAUGCUGUUGGUGUCAUUGUCUUGCUUCAUUUUUUUUUUCUUUUGCAAUUUAUCAAUAAAGGAAGAAGCAAUNNNNNNNNNNNNNNNNNNNNNNNNNNNNNNNNNNNNNNNNNNNNNNNNNNNNNNNNNNNNNNNNNNNNNNNNNNNNNNNNNNNNNNNNNNNNNNNNNNNNUGAUGUGAUUGUGAAGAAAUGGAUGCGGUUUUUUCAUUUUAUGGAUUUCUUAAGAAUAGGAACCUUCUUCUUCCUUUUUUAUGAUGAUUCUUUGUAGUAUUAAACAGUCAAUCUGGGAUAAAAUUCCGAGGCAGCUCAUGGCUCCAAGCUUUCACGUGACAGCAUUGAUAUUCCAUAAAUCGCUUUCUAGUUGGGUCUCGAAUUCUGGUGGUUUAGGAACUGUUGCUCACAGCUUGCUAGAAAUUUUUAGCAAAUAUACUUAUGCUUGUUGGGUUGAGAUUGUUGUGAUAGGCUGCCUACCUUCGGGUUUCCAUCAUCAGCGGUGACCAUGUGGCAUUCUUCCCAAAAGGAGUUCCAGAACAAAAUGUUCGAGCUGACAUGGGUUCAUUUGGAGUAACUGGAAAUCUUGUGAUUCAACCAAUUUGUAUCUUGCCUGGUAUAUCUCCUCUCUCUGUGCUAGUGUUGCAUGUAUAAAUUUUUUGUUGAAGCAAUGUUCUUAUGACAUUGUGAAGCUCUGUUAAAAGUUAGAUAAUUUGUAAUCUGAAUUGUGGUUCACUGUGUACUUUCUCCAAGGCUUUCUGGAUGUUAUUGCACAUAUAACAUGGUGCUUUGACCACAUAAAUAGGUGGUUAGAAAAGCAAAGUUACAUUUGCCAAGAUAACUUUCAAGCAACCUCACAUAGUUUUGCUUGACGACCCAUCCUAUCAUUUGGUAAGUUCUACUCAUAUUUCUCCAUUUUAUGACUUUGAUUACUUUUUCAGUUAGCUUGUUAUUGUUCUUGCACUAAUUGAACUUGUCGGAAUCUGGUUUUUACAUUAAAAAUAUAGUAGAACCAAAUGGUGGUCAUAGCUACUGGUAGCCCUCGUCAUCAUACAUCUAGCAAAUAAUGGAACAGACACCAAUCUAAUUGUUCCAAUGUGGAAAAUAUUCAGAAUAGAGCAAUCUACAAUACCAAAUGGUACUGAUCUUUAUGCCUAUAGGCAGUAUUGGGCUUUACAUACAAAUAUGUGGACCCCUUUUUGUUUGUAAAUCCGGUCUUUAAGUUUUGCUUUAAUGACCAGUGACUAAAGAAUUAUCUUUGUAAAUUGUUAGUUUCUUGUCUAAUGAUUAGUGUUUUUGUUUUUUUUUCCCUAUCCACACCUGUAGGAUUUGGAUGUGGCUGAGGCGCUCAUUCAAGGUCUGGUCUUGUUCCAAGGAUUAAUUCUGAUGGUGAGAUUGAUUUCCUUGUCAAAAUACUUCAAUUUGACCAAUGAUGGAUCAUUUCACAGCUAAUAGCCCUCUUUUCACCUUGAUUUGCAGGUUGGUCAUGAUGAGCAUCUAAUAGCUAGAAGCUUGGAUGAGGUCUGGGUGGUUUCACAAGGCAAGGUGGCACCUCUCCAUGGGAAUUUCUAGGACUAUAGGAAUGUACUCCUAUUUUUAUUGAAUCAGGUGAAUCUAGUUAUUGCCAUCCACUAAGAGUGGUUCAGUGGGUUCACAUUACCUCACAAAACAAAAAAUGAGGCUUAGCUACAUAGAGAAAGCAAAAAAGGAUGAAGAGAGGAUUGAUGCUGAUAUACAGGACGGACUCACAGUUACACCAGCCCUCAUUUGUCAUUUAUACUUGACAAGGGCUUGUGGAACGAUGAGUCUAAGUUUUUGACAGCAUACAGUAUCAUUUGCAAUAGCUUAAGAACUGAGUUGUGAUUGUAAUCUUGGUAUAAUUUAUGAUUCUUUGCACAUUUUGUUAUAGCAAUAGGUUCAUUUGUUGUGCCCCUGGAAGUUUGAUGCUCUAUUGCCACCGAAGUCAGUUUUCUCAUGCACACUAAAAUGAUUUAAUCAUUCGCAAAAGAAUAUUUUAGCACAGUAAAUUAUUUUGUAAGACAAAUCUAUUUUGUGAGAAAGCUAUAUCAAUAUAUUUUCCCCAUUUUCACUAUUUUGCACUAUUUUGGAGAAUUAAUUAUGAAAAUAUUAUCAUGGCCAACAAAACCCAUUCUUAGGAUGUAGGCAAGCUCUACCACUGAAAGUCAAAGACUGACAUUUGAGCGGGAUUUCUUGUUGGGUUGGAUCAGCUCUGUUUCGUUGGACAAUAAACUUUAGGUCGAAAUUCACUCAGUGUUGCCUCUUGCUAUAUUGAUGGCAUAUCUUCAACUCUACUUGAUGCUUAAACAAACUUUGAAGAAAGAUGCACUAUCACGAAGAAUUAUAGCGUUCCACAAUCAUAUGUCUUUGCAUUUUCAGCGUUUCUUGUAUGUUCUCUUCCCACCAUCUUUUUCUUGUGUCCUAGCUCAUUCAUUGUUUUUUUUUUCAAUGGUUUUCUUUAGAAUUGAGAACCCUUUUUUAUUUUUUUUAUUUUUAUUGAUGAUGAUCCUUUGUAGUAUUAAGCAAUCUAUUUGGGACACAUUUCUGGGGCAGCUUAUUGCUCCAAGCUUUUAAUACAACUCCAUCAUGAUAGCAUUGAUAUUCCAUAGAUCACCAUUCUGUUUGUGUUUACAGCUUGCUAGAAAUUUUUAGCCUAUAUACUCGUGCUUAUUUGGUUGAGAUUGUAACGAUAUGUUGCCUGCCUUUGUGUUUGCAUUAUUAGCAGUGACCUCUGGGGCAAAUCUAUUCAGGUCUUUAAAGUAUUGGUUGUUUGCAUUUACUCCAUUGCGGAAUAUGAUUUUGUUAUACAUCAUGUCGUUUUAUCUGCAAAUGCCUUCUUAUGUAGCAUUCUUCUUGCAGGGAUUUUCAAUCGAAAAGCUUCGAGCUCACUUGUGUUCCUUUGGUGUAAUUGGACAUCUUGCACUUCAACCAAUGUAUAAUACCUUUAUGAUACAUCGCCUCCCUCUCCGCUACCGUUGCAUAUGUAAAUUAUUUUUGAAGCAAUUGUUUUAUGACAUUGUGAAGCCCUAAUAGAGGUUAGUCAAUUUGCAAGUAGUUCACUGUGUACUACUCUGAGGCUUUUGGGAUGUUAUUGCAUAUGUAACAUGGUGCUUUGACCAUAUAAAUAGGUGC